rnacentral:lncRNA from 1 species
AAAAUCAUGCCACAGAAAGUCCAAACUAGUGGAGAUCUCGUUCAUUUGGAACAUAAAAGUGGCCACGGCGCGUAUUGCACGCAUGCAUCUUCUGGCUCAAAACAUCCGUAUAGUGUCCAAUGCUCCAUCAUACUGCUGAAUAGUGCCAUAGCUAGGUACACACAUACACAUCAAUAAUUAGGAAAAUAAUUACUAUUCAUUAAUUGCCUGAACAAGUAGGUCAGGCACAUCACACGUACACAUCUCGGCUAGACUGGAGUACAGCAAGGAACUGACAGUUCACUCACGCAUACGGACGUGUGCAUACAUGUCGCAUAAAUAUAUAUGCACACACAGUGUGUGUGCAAGGUACAGACAUAGACACACUACUGAAAUAACACAUGCAGGCAACUUUAUUUUAUUUUUUUAGUAGCUCAUCAGUAUCGUAUGAGCACUCCAUCAACAUAGACAUUAAGCUCCACACAAGCGCGUCCAUGCAUGCACGUAGGAAGGGUUAUAUAUUGAACUAGUUGACACUGCAUAAGAAUAAGACAUAUAUAUUAUGUCAGAGAAAAUCACGGCAGAUGUAACAUGCUAAAAAAACACAAUCGACCGUGUUUCUUAAAAUAUGAACUUAAUAUCACUGUUUUGUUACUAUAUAUUCACUUCCUAUAGCUCUUAAGAAAAACUAUGCAGGUACGUGUUUGCUCAUGACUUGUUUUAGUAUUUGUCCUCUUUUUUUGGGGGUCAUAUUGUUUGUAUUGUCAGAACCUUUUCUCUUCUGUACUAGCUCGGAUGCUGGAUUAAAACAACUGUUUGGCCUGGUGUAAAAAACCGUUUGCUUUUUAUAACGUGAAAACAGACGGUUAUGGAGUAGCACCACAUGGAAAUAUGCACAAGAUCUGGACUAGACGGCUGCGCGAGAAGAUGAAAAAUGCAUGCAUUUGGAUCAGGAGACCGAAAGGUUAGAACAUACGUGUCGCAGUUGGUGGACAUGCUGAUGGGGAAGGGCACACUGACGCCGCACUUGCCGGGCACGCCGGAGACCUUGCCCAUGUUGAUGGACUUGAUGCUGGUGGCGAGGCUCUUGAGGCACCUGCACGCUAUCUUGCGGUCCGAGCUGCUGCGGGCCAUGCCGUUCAGCCCCUGCACGCCGGAGCAGCACUCCUUGCUGAUCGAGGACGCCCUCCCCGUCACGUACGCCACGCACGGCGCGAGCUUGGAGUCCACCUGCCCGCACGACAGCGCCGCCGAGGCCUCCCUGCCGGCCAUCAUCAGCACCACCGCCGCCAGGACCACGGCGGCCACCACAGCCUUGCUGUUGAGACGAGCCAUCGAUCGGUAGCUGCAAGCUAGUUCCUUAAGCUGCUAGCUAGCUAGCUAUGGGUGAUCAGAUGAGUGUGGUUAAGCUGGUGGAGUGUGAUGGUGUGGAGGAAAGGGUGUGGCGUGGAGGGUAUAAAUAGGGGAACGGUGAACAUGAAGCAGGAUUGAUUGAGCAAUUGAUGCCCGUCGCUGCCAGGUCGUUGGCUGGUGGAGUUAAUUGAGAAGGUGGAUCCACCCUGCAAGUGCAUGUACUCGCUAGAAAGUACGCUCGAUCUCUUUGCAAUUGGCAUGUGUCUCUUUGCUUUUACUUUGUUUUUUAUAACAGUUUUUUAUAAAUGUUUUUUGCGGGAAGAAAAGUUACCGGUGGUGUGAACUUCUUGGUUGCUGCCCUGACCCUGAAACUGCCUCAUGGCUCCACAUAUUCAACAGAGUGUUUGGCUGCUCUCAUGGAAUUGUAACCAUGACUGAGGGCAUGUUCUGAAUUCUUCCUACUCCAUGCUUCUUCAACUCCAGGCGUAGAUCCGGACAGAACAUUUGGGCUCCGUGGAGUCAGCUUCACGAAGUGGUACAAGCCUGUAGUGCAAAUUGCUGAAAACGAAGAAGCAAGGAGUUCCUACUAAUUACAAGAGGAUGCCACCGCAAAGUACAAAAAACGAUUUGCGAAACAGCUCCCAGCCGCCUGUGGGAUGCUUGCCUCGCUAGUAUCCUGUGCCAGCGCACGUGGCCAGCCCUCCUCCACACAACGAUACAAGGUGGGCUGCCUCCAUCCGGCCCGAGAAAAUUGGAUAUUUACCAUUUUCAAUACGUGGCUUCUCAUCCGGCCCAAACUGGCACACAACGGUCUAUAGGCUCUCAGCUGAGCUAAAUCGUGAAGAGAAGUUACGAACACUGCCGAACGAAUGGAAUCGCCAAGUCGAAGCAAGCUCCAAAAGCUGGUUUUGUGGAGUUUGAGAAGCCCAGAGAGGCUCGGAGCAGGCCCUGAAUAGCUAGUUUUUGGGCGCAAGGGCCCCUUUUCUAUCUCGAUGGGCCAUUGGCCGAUCUUUGUUAGAUAAAGAAGAAGAACAGUACAACAACAUCCAACAGUUCAGGAGAUCAGAGCCGCUGGAAAGAAAUUACAAGGGAAAAACAAGAACCCUAAAACCACGCGACGCCGUGGUGACUAACUCCUCAGAUCAGCCACACAUCUAGCGGAUCUCCAUACUCCAAUAUCCUCUCCGAUUUGGUCUAGGACUCGAUUAAUGCUUACAAGGGCCCCUUUUCUAUCUCUAUUGCAUCUGUCACCCAUUUGAUCACUUGAUCACACCAUGUUUUCCAUCUGCUCUCUGCUAAGUCAAUGAAAAGCAGCAAUUGUUGGAUCUUUCAAAAUAAAAUAAAAUAACUACAAUCUUCACGUCGUGUUUAGUCCAUUGUUUGACUGAGGUUACAGUCGUCUUUUUUUUCUUCGAGAAAACUUUCAAUCUAUUUCUUUAAUCAUAGCAGUAUAACGGAAACUAGAAAUAAAAAAAUUACAUCUAAAUCCGUAGACUACCUAACGAUGACUAUAAUCACUAUUGUGUCAGGGUACAUCCACCUUCAUGGAUCCAAUUUUAUGAAGUCUUGAACCCAUCUAAGGUAAGAGUGGGGAGGAGAAAAUUUACUCUACAAGACAGAGCAGUGAUUGUACGUGUACCAAGGCAGAAGCUCAGGCCACCGACUUCCUAGGGCCGAGUCCGGCAGCUCUGCGUAGCCAAGAGCUCCCAGGCUGAGAUAGCAAGGACAAUAACCUCCAGCAGAUCAAAGAAAAGGCAGACCAUGCAUCUGCGCACAGGGUAGGGUAGGAAUCAAACAGUCCAGUCGACAUCUAAAGUGGUCUCCGGAAUGUCUACUACGGCAACUGAACUUUCUACAAUUCCGUAACCGAGCGGCACUUCCACAGUAUGAAACGAAGUAUUAAUGCCUGAUAGAUCCACAACCUAACUGUUCAUGCCUGAUUUUGUUGGCCUUAUUACUAAUUCCAUGUAGUUUUCAACUAGGAAGCUUGCGUCUCACAACAAUACUCAUCUCUGAAACAUUGCAAUAUUGCUUUCGAUCUAUGCAUGCGGGUUAGCAUAUCCCAACCGAGCUGGUGAAGUAGAUUGUCACCUCAUCAAUCCUCUACAGUAGCAGCUUUAAAUUGUUUGUUAAUUACCGAAAAAGGGUUUCCCCCCGCUUUGUAUACAAAGCAACCAACCGAACCAUCCAACGAUAGGUGCUGGGGCGGAAACAGCACAGUCACGCCCAAAAGAAAAGAAAGACAAAAUACAAGAGAAACAAACGCCGACAACGGCGGAUCGACAAAGAAACGAAGAAGCCUCGUGGCCGCUGCACCCACCGGAGAUCUCCCACCAGACUCCGAGCCUCCGAAGCACCGGUACCAAUCAACACCUCCAAGAAGGAACGCGACGAAGACGACGCUGCUGCCAAGGGUUUCCCCCGAUACGGUGAGGGGAGAGGAAGGGUAGCUCCGACGCCCUCCACGAAGGUCUGGCGGCACCCACAAGCACCACCGCGUCGAUGUCGGCCAGGCCAACAGAGAUUUCUCCCGAUCCCAACCUCCACCUCAGGCACUCCGAAGCUCGCCGCCAAACAGACCCUCACCCUGCGUCAGCCCGGACACGAAGCGUUCAACGCUGUCUCACCACGGCACCGUGAAGCAUGGUCGGCACGAUGAAGAAGAGGAGCCGGGACCAGGCAACAGCACCAUCGGCACGCGGGAGGGCCCCACCUCCACCGCCGAAGACGGUAGCUGACCGGACGCAAUGGCAGGAACACACCAGGCCCGUGGCCGCACAGGCCCAGCCGGGAACGCAGAGGCCCGUAAAGUUCCCGCCUUCGCGCUGCAGCCGGCACGCCGUCGGCUCCGUCGCCCCUGUCCAAGCCGCUCCCCUUCCUCCCCACACCGAAAGCCGCCAAGGGAGGCACCACCAACACGCGCACCGCCGGCCACCAUCACCAGGUCGCCGGACCGCCACCGGCCGAGCCGCACCACCGCCGCACGCCCACGACGGAGAGGAACCACCGCAGCCNNNNNNNNNNGCAGAGGCCCGUAAAGUUCCCGCCUUCGCGCUGCAGCCGGCACGCCGUCGGCUCCGCCGCCCCUGUCCAAGCCGCUCCCCUUCCUCCCCACACCGAAAGCCGCCAAGGGAGGCACCACCAACACGCGCACCGCCGGCCACCAUCACCAGGUCGCCGGACCGCCACCGGCCGAGCCGCACCACCGCCGCACGCCCACGACGGAGAGGAACCACCGCAGCCGCCGGCAGCCCGAAGCCGGACCCCAGCCGCCGCCCACGCCGCCCGCGGCCCUCGCCGCCUGCCGGGCGGAACCGGCCGCCGCGGCGAGGCGCGUUCCACCGCGCAGCCGGCCACGCCGNNNNNNNNNNNNNNNNNNNNNNNNNNNNNNNNNNNNNNNNNNNNNNNNNNNNNNNNNNNNNNNNNNNNNNNNNNNNNNNNNNNNNNNNNNNNNNNNNNNNNNNNNNNNNNNNNNNNNNNNNNNNNNNNNNNNNNNNNNNNNNNNNNNNNNNNNNNNNNNNNNNNNNNNNNNNNNNNNNNNNNNNNNNNNNNNNNNNNNNNNNNNNNNNNNNNNNNNNNNNNNNNNNNNNNNNNNNNNNNNNNNNNNNNNNNNNNNNNNNNNNNNNNNNNNNNNNNNNNNNNNNNNNNNNNNNNNNNNNNNNNNNNNNNNNNNNNNNNNNNNNNNNNNNNNNNNNNNNNNNNNNNNNNNNNNNNNNNNNNNNNNNNNNNNNNNNNNNNNNNNNNNNNNNNNNNNNNNNNNNNNNNNNNNNNNNNNNNNNNNNNNNNNNNNNNNNNNNNNNNNNNNNNNNNNNNNNNNNNNNNNNNNNNNNNNNNNNNNNNNNNNNNNNNNNNNNNNNNNNNNNNNNNNGGAGGCGGCGGGAUCUGGGCGCCCGCCCCGGCCGCCUCGCGGGUGGCGGCGCGGGCGGGAGGGGGGAGGGGGGAGGGGGAUAUUUGUCAUCCAAUUGUUUGUUAAUUCGACACGUCUCUACAUUCUUGAAAUAGGCUUUCGUCCCCCUAUAUCAAUAUAGCAACGACUCGAUACAAUAGUUUGAGCAACGCUGGAGCAAACAGCACAAACAUCCCCAAAAGAAAAGACAAGAGAGAAAUAGGAGAACUAAGGGUGUGUUUGUUUGGGCUGCAACUUCUUCGGCUGCAGCUGCAACGGCUCCGGCUAGAAGGAGCGGCUGUAGUUGCUAGCUGUAGCUAGAUGAUUGGAGCUGAGAUGCGGUCGUUUGGUAGUUGUGUUGUAGCAGCUGCGGCUGAUGCAGAAUCCUGCUAAAAUGACCCAAAAGCCCUUAAUUGUUCUGUAAGUUGAGAUUAAGUGCUGAUUGUGGUGUUAUAACUGUAAAUGACUCGCUUAAUAGCCAUUUUUGCUACAGAUGUCCAUUUUCAAAUAUUUUAACUGAAAUUACACUUGUUUGAUGAGGCAGGUAGUGUAUUUAUACGAAUUUGACAUAUUGAACGGAAAUUCCAUGGAUCGAUCUACAUUCAGUUCCAGAUAAAAAUCAUUUUUUCACAACAGCACCACGUAGCAGCAGUAUAGCAGAGGCCAGCGAUUUAUCUCAGUAGGUUUCCUCAUAGUUUGUGAAGCUGCAGAAAGAAACAUGUGUAUAUUAAAAGGCAACGCUGUUCCUAGAAAAAAAUACAAUCUGAUGAAUGCUCAAAGUGAUAACCCUUGCAUCGAUCUAAGGCACCAUCACGCGAACACACACGCACAGAACUGAGCAUGCACACGCACGAAAGCGAUGGAAUCCCGCAACCGCUGCGCCCACUGAAGACUUCCACCACGCUUCAAUGCCACUGAAUUGCCGCGUACUAAGCAACACCUUUAAGAAGGACUGCGACAACGAUGACGAUGCUGCUAUCCGGACGAAUCCUAGGAUUUCUCCUCGCACACGGAGGGAAGUUGGGGAAAGGUCCACACGACGCCCUUCAAUAAGGAUGGCGGCACCCACAGACAUCACCGCGUCGGUGCCGGCGAGACCCGAAAGUGAUUUCCCUCGACCUCUCGCACCCACAGCUCAAGACCACCCGUCGGCUCCACCACACCCGUCGGCCACCAAUAUGCGCCAGCACAGUCAAGAGAACACCAUCGUUGUCACACCACGGCAAACGUUGCUAGGCCGACCGAACCAGAACGAAACACCCGUAGAUAGGGGUCGGUACUCCUGCGACCAUGUGGGAGGGAACAACUUCCACUGGCUCAGGCGGUAGCAGACCGGACGCAGCAGUGGGAGCACACUAGGACAAUUGCGCGGGCAGGCCCAAAUCGGAACCGCGAACCUCCUGCCAAUGUGCUGCAACAAACACGACACGGUAGCUGCCGCCCCCUCGUGAGGUGCUCGCCGGACAAGCAAGAGACAACCCGUCGCAGCCCUAAUCACCCCGCCCUGACCCAGAUCAGGCCCAAAAGGGCCCAGAUCUGGGCUCCCGAAGCCACCGCCGCCGCGAAGGGGCUGCGCCACCGCCUCGUCGCCAUCCAGGCCACGCCAGAGAGUCGUCAGCCGAGCCGCACCGCCGCCGCCUGCAUUGGGGAAGGGAAUGGGACCGCCACCGCCGGCCACGCAACGACAUCAUGCGAGCAACGCCAGGCCGUGCCCGCCGGCCGCAUUGGUGAGAGGGAGGGGCACAAGGAGCUCAAAGAGGUGGGGGGAGAGGGGGGCCGCCCCGGUUGCCUCGCUCGGGGAGGCGACACGGAGGGGUACGACGUCCGUCUCUGCAUUCUUCUCAGUGUCGUUCUUCUUUUUCAUAUGCUCAAACUCACAGCCCAUAUAUUGUUAAAAAGUGAAGCAUGACACUACCCCACACCCUCAUCCAUCGUUUAUCACUCCUUUCACUUCUACACGAAUGCCUAGCAAUGACGAUCCCUAAAAGCCUAUCAAUGACAUGCAAGAUUGUCAAGGACGCCCACCACUGAUAACAUGGCUUCAAUGGCUGUGCAUUGCCCGCCACUAUUAUUGUCAGUACCUAUCGCGAGCACUAUACUUUGUCAAGCCAAAAGAAGAUGAGCACUCAUGGUAGUGUUUUUGGCUGCGUGGCAGCUGUUUACAUUUUAACAGUAAUAUUAUUGUUGUAGUUAUAUAUAACACAAUUUAAGAACAUACUUUCAAUGUUUAACACUUUCACAUAACACUACAAUAAUCGCAUACAACAUGUAUGGUCUUUUAUCGUAAAGGAAAAUAAUUUUGUUACAAACUUGUGAUGGUAAAGAAAUAAAAGCGACAAACUACAUAAUAAAUGUUGCUAUCACAAGAGGCAAUAUAUAAAAUGAUGUCUCUUUACAUUAAGAGCUUGCACAUCCCAAAUGAAAAAAUGCAUGACAACCUCUGCUUCCCUCUGCGAUACUUUUAUGCAAGAGUCAAUAAGGUUCAUCCCUAUUCCAUUCUUAAUUAUUCUUCACUUGCUAAGCAUCAUGUGUUAGGGAAAGAUCCACACACAUAUAUCCAGUUGGAUAUAGGUAAUCAUGAGUUAUUAUUGUUGACAUUAUUCUCGAGGUAAAUAAAUUAGGAGGUGAAGACAAUAAACCUCCAUCUUCCUAUGUGUCUGACAGAAAUGUUUGUUUUGAAAAAUAUGCUUUGAGUGUUAGCAAAAUCAUAUAAGACUAUUUGAGUAUGUGGACUUGUUCAAAAAAGCUUAUACAUAGACUCUUUUUGAAAAUAUGAUGAAUUGUAAUUAUUUCAGUGACUGAGAACACAGUUUGUUUGUUUUCAAGAAAGUUUAUGCUUCAUACUUCAAAAUUGUGAAUGAAUUGUUACUUGAUUAUGAGAAAUUAUAUGAUGAAGAAUUGCUGCUAUGAUAAUGAUCAUUAUGCUUCUAUGUCCGUAUUUUAUUUUAUCAACACCACUCUCACUAAACAUGUAGUCAUGAUUAUUUGUUAGAAUAAAUCCGAGGCCACCGUCGAUCAUAUGAGGACCAAGAAAUCACACAAGCACGACACCGAGAUUUGUUAACGAGGUUCACCGAUAUGGCUACAUCCCGGGGCCUGACUAUGGACGCUCCUCCCCAUGACACCACUACAAUACCACACCCGGUCGCCCUAGACGCUUGCACAUGCCGUCGGCUUCCCCUGCGUUCAUGUGCUAUUAUGUUGGCAUAGGUUCAUGUGCCUACCCUCGCUAUAUAUGAGAGGCCUAGGAUACAAGUGUUCUACUAGGACACAACUCCAUAUCCUAUCUAAGCACAAUACUAUUCAGAAUUCAACUGUAACCUACCUUGUACACUAUAUUCGACACAACUCUAACAAACUCCACCUUGGCGAAUAUUCUCCACCACCUUGGAUUCGUCCAUGUGUCAAACUUCCAUGUACAUUGGACUUGAGCUUAUCCCAUGAGCACCGCUGCUACUCUAAAGACCCCAUAUGACUCCACCUGCAACUUGUAGUCCCUUCUUUUCUUGACCACAGUUAACACUUGAGCAAAAUUAAGUUCCUCUUUACUCUAGUAUGUGCUCCCAACUUCCAGAGUAUCAGUUCAACGCCAUCACACACUGAUCGCUAACCCGCAUCAAAGUGAACAACUCACAUAUUGGGUGUCACACAUAAGAUUUACCUGAACUCAAUACCACCGCUCUUCCUUGACCGUCUAUCUGAAACUUGAAGGAAUCUCACCGCUGCUUGUAGUCAUCCCGAGUCAAAUUCGUAGUUGUCUCACCACAUAUAUGACCACCAGAGCCCUGGCCCAUCUCCAUGUCCCAUGCAUACCGCAAGUCUCGCCGCUAUUACCGCGUCGAGCCUCCGCUGUCCUAGUCGAGUCUCAAGGGUCGCGAACCACACCACUCAACCCCACUGCAGAGUACCACCGAUCAUCGCCGACCGGUGACGAGUUUCACGCUUCCAUCAGACCACUGGGCUCCAGUACAAACUGCAUGUCACUCAUUUCCCCCCUUGCUGAAUAGCCUUCGAUUCCCUGGAUCGUUAUACUGUAGCCCCUCAAUCCAGCUCCACCUUCAACAUGACUCCAUGGUAGACGAUCAGUCCACCCUCACGCCCCGUCGACUUCAAAUUACGUGUGUACAUCAUCUUGAAUCAACCCCGCAUCAUAGUCUUGUCGAAGCCGCACAAGCCCUUAGGCCCAUGCCACGUGUUUCCACGUCCAGAAGUCGGUCACCAUCAGCAUCACGCUCCUAUGUCGUCGUCGCCGAUCCCACCACCGUCUUCUGUACCAACUGACUUGCAUCGAUCCCGCCAGACUGCCCAGCCUGACCCAGCCGAACUCGUACGACUGUAUGACACGCUCAAGGCUCCCAAAUCAUCUUCCGUGAAUCUCCAUCUAUCACAUGAUAAUUCCAUCUCAGCUGACAUGACUUCCGGCAAUGUCUUUAAGCAUUCUUGUUGUGCCAACAAAUCUUUCACUCUUGUCUGCCAUAACACAAGGUUUUCAGUUUCGCGAACUUCUCCACCUCAAACCUGGUACCCGUUGGCGCCAUGGUUAUCCGUAUGGCUGACCCUGCGAAAAAUUAUCCGGGCUAUCAACGCGAUGCCCAAGUACACAAACAGCCUCCGCGUACUAAUAGAAUUUCAACUAAAAAACCUUCUGGUCUUCUCACGUGGAGUCGCUCCUAAGCCCAACUCCGAAUGCUAGCUUUUGCCUUGUCAUGUUCUCCUUGAUGGAUGCUUAAUACAACGAUGGAUCUUUUUUUUUCUUUUUUUAGAACGAAGACGCAAGAAACGUCUGGCUUUAAAUUAAUAAAGCCCUCAGAACAGGCAGCAUCCAAAGUACGAUACAAAUGAUAAGAAAAGACAGCAACGGUCGAAACCCAAGUCAGGUACAUGCAAUCGGCCUAUGCCUGAAUAAGGUAAAACCAGUCUAAACACAUAGACAACCGGCCGGAGAAGGAGCAGACCACCAGCAGCUUAGUGACGAGCAGCAUUUUGAAUCAAGCAGAUCCGCUCCAUGGCCUCCUGCAUCCGCUCAGUGUCCCGCCGUUUCCCCAACGGCAUUCGGGUAUGGAGGAACAUGUGGCAUUUGAAAAUAAUGUCAGCGGGGUGAGAAGGGAAUUUGUGCUCAAUAGUGAUUUUGUUUCUAAUAGUCAAAACAGACCAUAAAAGUGCCCCUACGCAUCACCAUAACACUUGGGCAUAUCCACCCCAUUUGAGCCCUAAGGAUAUCACGAAGCUCUCUGCCCGAGUGCGGGUUCCAGUUCUGGCCGAAGGCGUCCCGGACCGCACUCCAAGUGAACCGAGCUAAGUGGCAGUUGAAAAAUAUGUGAUUUGCAUCCUCAGGCGCACCACACAUCACACAACUGCCAUCAGACGGCCCAUUACGUUUAUCAAUAUUGUUAGAGGAUGGGAGACGGUCACAGAACAUUUGCCAAAGGAAGAUUUUGAUUCUGAGAGGGAUAGACACUUUCCAUAGCCCCUAGCUAUAUCCAGUACCGGACCCUCCGUUAACUUAGCAUAAAGCGACCUGACCGAGAACUUCCCGGAGCUCGUGAGGGACCAGGAAACCUCAACAGGUUCAGGUCGCAGCACAGCGCCGGCUAGCGCAUUGCAUAGCUCCUCCCAAUAGGCUCGUUCAGGGUCUAGGAGAGACCACUUAAAGGAGAUAGCUGGUGGGGAGGAUCUAAGCGCGUCAGCAACGAGGAUUUCGGUAUUGGUAGCAAGUUAGUAGAUGGAGGGGUGGCUGCGCCACAAUGGAUCCGCACCAUACCACUGGUCGAGCCAGAAUCUCGUGGACUUGUCGUCGUUCACACUAAGUUUAGCUCCUAACACAAAGGGUGGUUUAACAGUGUGGAUCCCUUUGGCCUUAGAAGUAAGAAAAUUCCCAUUAGGGAAAUAUUUCGCCCGAAGGAUAUCCGCCCAGAGCCCUUGCUCAUUUUGGGAGAGCUUCCACAGCCACUUGGCAAGAAGAGCAACGUUCAUAAGCUUGGAGUUAAGGAUCCCUAGGCCGCCAAAUUUCUUUAGACGACAUAGCGCUGCCCACUUGACUAAGUGGUACUUCUUUUUGGAUCCAGUUCCUUCCCAGAAGAACUUGGAUCAAGGUGUGUCAAGCUUGGCAUGAACACCGUCUACCAAGAGAAACAUGCCCAUGGUGAACAUGGGCAAGGAAGAGAGACCGGUUUUUGUGAGAAUAAGCCUAGCAGCCGAAGACAUGAACCUACCGCGCCAAGGACUAACCCGGUUCUCCACCUUGCCAUAUAAAGGUUCCCACUCAUGAGUAGAUAUGUGUUUGUCUGAGAUAGGGAGGCUGGAGUACUUAAACAGAAAGCUCCCUAGCUUACAGUUAAGAAGGUUGGCUACACGGGAUGCGAUGGAAUCAUCCAUCCCAAGGGCUAUCCCCUCACUUUUGAGAAAGUUGAUCUUACGGCCAGAAACGAUCUCGAAAGCUAGAAGGAUAAGCUUAAUUGAGGCUAUACUAUGGUUAUCAGGCUCAAAGAGCAACAUGGCGUCGUCGGCAUAUUGAAGGUACGUGACACCUCCAGGGAUGGGGUGUGGGACGACACCGCGGAUGUGACCGGCACCCUUAGCCUUAUUGAUCAUGGCCGAGAGGGCGUCCACAACAAGGUUGAAGAUCAAAGGAGAGGAAGGGUCUUCCUGUCUAAGACCUGCUUGUUGCGGAAGAAGUUCCCAACUUCUCUGUUGAUUGACACCGCAGUCUAGCCCCCAGAGACUAGAAGCAUGAUACGAUUGAUGGAACCUGAUGUCGGUGUCAAAACCGGCGGAUCUCGGGUAGGGGGUCCCGAACUGUGCAUCUAGACCGGAUGGUAACAGGAGGCAGGGGACACGAUGUUUUACCCAGGUUCGGGCCCUCUUGAUGGAGGUAAAACCCUACGUCCUGCUUGAUUAAUAUUGAUGAUAUGGGUAGUACAAGAGUAGAUCUACCACGAGAUCAGAGAGGCUAAACCCUAGAAGCUAGCCUAUGGUAUGAUUGUUGUUCAUCCUACGGACUAAAACUCUCCGGUUUAUAUAGACAGCGGAGAGGGCUAGGGUUACACAGAGUCGGUUACAAUGGUAGGAGAUCUACAUAUCCGUAUCGCCAAGCUUGCCUCCCACGCCAAGGAAAGUCCCUUCCGGACAUGGGACGAAGUCUUCAAUCUUGUAUCUUCAUAGUCCAAGAGUCCAGCCGAAGGUAUAGUCCGGCUAUCCAGACACCCCCUAAUCCAGGACUCCCUCACCUGACUCGAAUCCCUUUCGAUCCAGGACCUCGCAAAUGAACUCCCAGUUCACUCGGUCGUAGGAUUUUUUUAAAGUCCAGCUUAAGGAGCACAGCCGGCUGCCGGGUUCGUUUUAGUUCGUGGACUAUCUCCUGAAGCACAACCGGCCCUUCGAGAAUGUUGCUACCUUUGAGAAAAGUCGACUGGUUGCGAUUGAUCACUCUCUGCGCAAUAGGGGCGAGUUGUUGGGGAACGUUGCAGAAAAUAAAAAAUUUCCUACUCGUUUCACCAAGAUCAUCUAGGAGUUCAUCUAGCAACGAGUGAAUAGAUGCAUCUACAUACCUUGUAGAUCGCGAGCGGAAGCGUUCAAAGAACGGGGAUGAUGUAGUCGAACACGACGUGAUCCAAAUCACCGGAGAUCCUAGCACCGAACGGACGGCACCUCCGCGUUCAACACACGUACGGAAACAACCACGUCUCCUCCUUCUUGAUCCAGCAAGGGAGGGAGGAGAGGUUGAGGGAGAUGGCACCAGCAGCAGCACGACGGCGUGGUGUUGAUGGAGCUGCAGUACUCCGGCAGAGCUUCGCUAAGCAAUAAGGAGGUGGAGGAGGUGUUGGGGAGGGAGAAGGAGGCAACCAAAGGCCAAGGACUCAAGGUAUGAAGUCCCUCCUCUCCCCCACUAUAUAUAGGGGUGCCAAGGGGGGGUGGCCGGCCCUAGGAGAUCCAAUCUCCUAGGGGGUGCGGCGGCCAAGGGGGGUUUCCCUCCCCCCCAAGGCACCUAGGAGGUGCCUUCCACUAGUAGGACUCCUCCCCCUUGGAAACCCUAGGCGCAUGGGCCUAGUGGGGCUGGUGCCCUUGGCCCAUGUAGGCCAAGGCGCACCCCCUACAGCCCAUGUGGCCCCCGGGGAUGGGUGGCCCCACCCGGUGGGCCCCCGGGACCCCUCCGGUGGUCCCGGUACAAUACCGAUAACCCCGAAACUUGUCCCGAUGCCCGAAACAGGACUUCCCAUAUAUAAAUCUUUACCUCCGGACCAUUCCGCAACUCCUCGUGACGUCCGGGAUCUCAUCCGGGACUCCGAACAACAUUCAGGUUACGGCAUAUACAUAUCCCUACAACCCUAGCGUAACUGAACCUUAAGUGUGUAGACCCUACGGGUUCGGGAGACAUGUAGACAUGACCGAGAUCGCUCUCCGGUCAAUAACCAACAGUGGGAUCUGGAUACCCAUGUUGGCUCCCACAUGCUCCACGAUGAUCUCAUCGGAUGAACCACGAUGUCGAGGAUUUAAUCAACCCCGUAUGCAAUUCCCUUUGUCAAUCGAUAUGUUACUUGCCCGAGAUUCGAUCGUCGGUAUCCCAAUACCUCGUUCAAUCUUGUUACCGGCAAGUCACUUUACUCGUACCGUAAUGCAUGAUCCCGUGACCAAACACUUAGUCACUUUGAGCUCAUUAUGAUGAUGCAUUACUGAGUGGGCCCAGUGAUAUCUCUCCGUCAUACGGAGUGACAAAUCCCAGUCUCGAUCCAUAUAAAACAAUAGAUACUUUCGGAGAUACCUGUAGUGCACCUUUAUAGUCACCCAGUUACGUUGUGACGUUUGAUACACCCAAAGCACUCCUACGGUAUCCAGGAAUUAUACGAUCUCAUGGUCGAAGGAAGAGAUACUUUGACAUUGCAAAACUCUAGCAAACGAACUAUACGAUCUUGUGCUAUGUUUAGGAUUGGGUCUUGUCCAUCACAUCAUCAUCCUAAUGAUGUGAUCCCGUUAUCAAUGACAUCCAAUGUCCAUAGCCAGGAAACCAUGACUAUCUAUUGAUCAACGAGCUAGUCAACUAGAGGCUUACUAGGGACAUGUUGGUGUCUGUUAUUCACACAUGUAUUACGAUUUCCGGAUAACACAAUUAUAGCAUGAAUAAAGACAAUUAUCAUGAACAAAGAAAUAUAAUAAUAAUGCUUUUAUUAUUGCCUCUAGGGCAUAUUUCCAACAGUCUCCCACUUGCACUAGAGUCAAUAAUCUAGUUACAUUGUGAUGAAUCGAACACCCAUGGAAUUCUGGUGUUGAUCAUGUUUUGCUCUUGGGAGAGGUUUAGUCAACGGAUCUGCUACAUUCAGGUCCGUAUGUACUUUACAAAUCUCUAUGUUUCCAUCUUGAACAUUUUCACGGAUGGAGUUGAAGCGACGCUUGAUGUGCCUUGUCUUCUUGUGAAACCGGGGCUCCUUGGCAAGUGCAAUAGCUCCAGUGUUGUCACAGAAGAGCUUGAUUGGCCCCGACGCAUUGGGUAUGACUCCUAGGUCGGUGAUGAACUCCUUCACCCAUAUUGCUUCAUGUGUUGCCUCCGAGGCUGCCAUGUACUCCGCUUCACAUGUAGAUCCCGCCACGACGCUCUGCUUGCAACUGCACCAGCUUACUGCCCCACCAUUCAAAAUAUACACGUAUCCGGUUUGUGACUUAGAGUCAUCCAGAUCUGUGUCGAAGCUAGCGUCGACGUAACCUUUUACGACGAGCUCUUCGUCACCUCCAUAAACGAGAAACAUUUCCUUAGUCCUUUUCAGGUACUUCAGGAUAUUCUUGACCGCUGUCCAGUGUUCCUUGCCGGGGUACCUUCCUACCAAACUUACGGCAAGGUUUACAUCAGGUCUGGUACACAGCAUGGCAUACAUAAUAGAACCUAUGGCUGAGGCAUAGGGGAUGACACUCAUCUCUUCUAUCUCUGCUGCCGUGGUCGGACAUUGAGCUGAGCUCAAUUUCACACCUUGCAAAACAGGCAAGAACCCUUUCUUGGACUGAUCCAUUUUGAACUUCUUCAAAAUCUUAUCAAGAUAUGUGCUUUGUGAAAGACCUAUGAGGCGUCUUGAUCUAUCCCUAUAGAUCUUGAUGCCUAAUAUAUAAGCAGCUUCUCCAAGGUCCUUCAUUGAAAAACUCUUAUUCAAGUAGGCCUUAAUGCUGUCCAAAAGUUCUAUAUCAUUUCCCAUCAAAAGUAUGUCAUCUACAUAUAGUAUGAGAAAUGCUAUAGAGCUCCCACUCACUUUCUUGUAAACACAGGCUUCUCCAUAAGUCUGUGUAAACCCAAACGCUUUGAUCAUCUCAUCAAAACGAAUGUUCCAACUCCGAGAUGCUUGCACCAGCCCAUAAAUCGAGCGUUGGAGCUUGCACACCUUGUCAGCAUUUUUAGGAUCGACAAAACCUUCCGGCUGCAUCAUAUACAAUUCUUCCUUAAGGAAACCAUUAAGGAAUGCCGUUUUGACGUCCAUUUGCCAAAUUUCAUAAUCAUAAAAUGAGGCAAUUGCUAACAUGAUUCGAACGGACUUCAGCUUCGCUACCGGUGAGAAAGUCUCAUCAUAGUCAAUCCCUUGAACUUGUCGAUAACCCUUAGCGACAAGCCGAGCUUUAUAGAUGGUCACAUUACCAUCCGCGUCUGUCUUCUUCUUAAAGAUCCAUUUAUUUUCUAUGGCUCGCCGUUCUACGGGCAAGUCAGUCAAAGUCCAUACUUCGUUUUCAUACAUGGAUCCUAUCUCGGAUUUCAUGGCUUCUAGCCAUUUGUCGGAAUCCGGACCCGCCAUCGCUUCUUCAUAGUUCGAAGGUUCACCAUUGUCUAACAACAUGAUUUCCAAGACAGGGUUGCCGUACCACUCUGGUGCGGAACGUGUCCUCGUGGACCUUCGAAUUUCAGUAGGAGCUUGAUCAGAAGUAUCUUGAUCAUUAUCAUUAACUUCCUCUUUAGUCGGUGCAGGUGUUGGGUAACGUUGCAGAAAACAAAAAAUUUCCUACUCGUUUCACCAAGAUCAUCUAGGAGUUCAUCUAGCAAUGAGUCAUUGGAUGCAUCUACGUACCUUGUAGAUCGCGAGCGGAAGCGUUCAAAGAACGGGGAUGAUGUAGUCGAACACGACGUGAUUCGAAUCACCGGAGAUCCUAGCACCGAACGGACGGCACCUCCGCGUUCAACACACGUACGGAACAGCCACGUCUCCUCCUUCUUGAUCCAGCAAGGGAGGGAGGAGAGGUUGAGGGAGAUGGCACCAGCAGCAGCACGACGGCGUGGUGUUGAUGGAGCUGCAGUACUCCGGCAGAGCUUCGCUAAGCAAUAAGGAGAUGGAUGAGGUGUUGGGGAGGGAGAAGGAGGCAACCAAAGGCCAAGGACUCAAGGUAUGAAGUCCCUCCUCUCCCCCACUAUAUAUAGGGGUGCCAAGGGGGGGUGGCCGGCCCUAGGAGAUCCAAUCUCCUAGGGGGUGCGGCGGCCAAGGGGGGUUUCCCUCCCCCCCAAGGCACCUAGGAGGUGCCUUACCCUCCUAGGACUCUUGCCCCCUUGAACCCUAGGCGCAUGGGCCUAUGUGGGGCUGGUGCCCUUGGCCCAAGCAGGCCAAGGCGCACCCCCUACAGCCCAUGUGGCCCCCGGGGAUGGGUGGCCCCACCCGGUGGGCCCCCGGGACCCCUCCGGUGGUCCCGGUACAAUACCGAUAACCCCGAAACUUGUCCCGAUGCCCGAAACAGGACUUUCCAUAUAUAAAUCUUUACCUCCGGACCAUUCCGGAACUCCUCGUGACGUCCGGGAUCUCAUCCGGGACUCCGAACAACAUUCGGGUUACUGCAUAUACAUAUCCCUACAACCCUAGCGUAACUGAACCUUAAGUGUGUAGACCCUACGGGUUCGGGAGACAUGUAGACAUGACCAAGAUCGCUCUCCGGUCAAUAACCAACAGCGGGAUCUGGAUACCCAUGUUGGCUCCCACAUGCUCCACGAUGAUCUCAUCGGAUGAACCACGAUGUCGAGGAUUUAAUCAACCCCGUAUGCAAUUCCCUUUGUCAAUCGAUAUGUUACUUGCCCGAGAUUCGAUCGUCGGUAUCCCAAUACCUCGUUCAAUCUUGUUACCGGCAAGUCACUUUACUCGUACCGUAAUGCAUGAUCCCGUGACCAAACACUUAGUCACUUUGAGCUCAUUAUGAUGAUGCAUUACUGAGUGGGCCCAGUGAUAUCUCUCCGUCAUACGGAGUGACAAAUCCCAGUCUCGAUCCAUAUAAAACAAUAGAUACUUUCGGAGAUACCUGUAGUGCACCUUUAUAGUCACCCAGUUACGUUGUGACGUUUGAUACACCCAAAGCACUCCUACGGUAUCCAGGAAUUAUACGAUCUCAUGGUCGAAGGAAGAGAUACUUUGACAUUGCAAAACUCUAGCAAACGAACUAUACGAUCUUGUGCUAUGUUUAGGAUUGGGUCUUGUCCAUCACAUCAUCAUCCUAAUGAUGUGAUCCCGUUAUCAAUGACAUCCAAUGUCCAUAGCCAGGAAACCAUGACUAUCUAUUGAUCAACGAGCUAGUCAACUAGAGGCUUACUAGGGACAUGUUGGUGUCUGUUAUUCACACAUGUAUUACGAUUUCCGGAUAACACAAUUAUAGCAUGAAUAAAGACAAUUAUCAUGAACAAAGAAAUAUAAUAAUAAUGCUUUUAUUAUUGCCUCUAGGGCAUAUUUCCAACAGUCUCCCACUUGCACUAGAGUCAAUAAUCUAGUUACAUUGUGAUGAAUCGAACACCCAUGGAAUUCUGGUGUUGAUCAUGUUUUGCUCUUGGGAGAGGUUUAGUCAACGGAUCUGCUAUAUUCAGGUCCGUAUGUACUUUACAAAUCUCUAUGUCUCCAUCUUGAACAUUUUCACGGAUGGAGUUGAAGCGAUGCUUGAUGUGCCUUGUCUUCUUGUGAAACCUGGGCUCCUUGGCAAGUGCAAUAGCUCCAGUGUUGUCACAGAAGAGCUUGAUCGGCCCCGACGCAUUGGGUAUGACUCCUAGGUCGGUGAUGAACUCCUUCACCCAUAUUGCUUCAUGUGCUGCCUCCGAGGCUGCCAUGUACUCCGCUUCACAUGUAGAUCCCGCCACGACGCUCUGCUUGCAACUGCACCAGCUUACUGCCCCACCAUUCAAAAUAUACACGUAUCCGGUUUGUGACUUAGAGUCAUCCAGAUCUGUGUCGAAGCUAGCGUCGACGUAACCUUUUACGACGAGCUCUUCGUCACCUCCAUAAACGAGAAACAUUUCCUUAGUCCUUUUCAGGUACUUCAGGAUAUUCUUGACCGCUGUCUAGUGUUCCUUGCCGGGAUUACUUUGGUACCUUCCUACCAAACUUACGGCAAGGUUUACAUCAGGUCUGGUACACAGCAUGGCAUACAUAAUAGAACCUAUGGCUGAGGCAUAGGGGAUGAUACUCAUCUCUUCUAUCUCUGCUGCCGUGGUCGGACAUUGAGCUGAGCUCAAUUUCACACCUUGCAAAACAGGCAAGAACCCUUUCUUGGACUGAUCCAUUUUGAACUUCUUCAAAAUCUUAUCAAGAUAUGUGCUUUGUGAAAGACCUAUGAGGCGUCUUGAUCUGUCCCUAUAGAUCUUGAUGCCUAAUAUAUAAGCAGCUUCUCCAAGGUCCUUCAUUGAAAAACUCUUAUUCAAGUAGGCCUUAAUGCUGUCCAAAAGUUCUAUAUCAUUUCCCAUCAAAAGUAUGUCAUCUACAUAUAGUAUGAGAAAUGCUAUAGAGCUCCCACUCACUUUCUUGUAAACACAGGCUUCUCCAUAAGUCUGUGUAAACCCAAACGCUUUGAUCAUCUCAUCAAAACGAAUGUUCCAACUCCGAGAUGCUUGCACCAGCCCAUAAAUCGAGCGUUGGAGCUUGCACACCUUGUCAGCAUUUUUAGGAUCGACAAAACCUUCCGGCUGCAUCAUAUACAAUUCUUCCUUAAGGAAACCAUUAAGGAAUGCCGUUUUGACGUCCAUUUGCCAAAUUUCAUAAUCAUAAAAUGCGGCAAUUGCUAACAUGAUUCGGACGGACUUCAGCUUCGCUACCGGUGAGAAAGUCUCAUCGUAGUCAACCCCUUGAACUUGUCGAUAACCCUCAGCGACAAGCCGAGCUUUAUAGAUGGUCACAUUACCAUCCGCGUCUGUCUUCUUCUUAAAGAUCCAUUUAUUUUCUAUGGCUCGCCGUUCUACGGGCAAGUCAGUCAAAGUCCAUACUUUGUUUUCAUACAUGGAUCCUAUCUCGGAUUUCAUGGCUUCUAGCCAUUUGUCGGAAUCCGGACCCGCCAUCGCUUCUUCAUAGUUCGAAGGUUCACCGUUGUCUAACAACAUGAUUUCCAAGACAGGGUUGCCGUACCACUCUGGUGCGGAACGUGUCCUCGUGGACCUUCGAAUUUCAGUAGGAGUUUGAUCAGAAGUAUCUUGAUCAUUAUCAUUAACUUCCUCUCUUGUCGGUGCUGGCACCUCAGGAACAUUUUCUUGAGUUGCGCCAUUUUCCGGUUCAAGAGGCAAUACUUCAUCAAGCUCUACUUUCCUCCCACUUACUUCUUUCGAGAGAAACUCUUUCUCCAGAAAGGACCCAUUCUUGGCAACAAAGAUCUUGCCUUCGGAUCUGAGGUAGAAGAUAUACCCAACAGUUUCUUUAGGGUAUCCUAUGAAGACGCAUUUUUCCGAUUUGGGUUCGAGCUUUUCAGGUUGAAGUUUCCUGACAUAAGCAUCGCAUCCCCAAACUUUUAGAAAUGACAGCUUAGGUUUCUUCCCAAACCAUAAUUCAUACGGUGUCGUCUCAACGGAUUUCGACGGGGCCCUAUUUAAAGUGAAUGCGGCAGUCUCUAAAGCAUAGCCCCAAAAAGAUAGUGGUAAAUCGGCAAGAGACAUCAUAGAUCGCACCAUAUCUAAUAGAGUGCGAUUACGACAUUCGGACACACCAUUACGCUGAGGUGUUCCAGGCGGCGUGAGUUGUGAAACCAUUCCACAUUUUCUUAAGUGUGUACCAAACUCGUGACUCAAGUAUUCUCCUCCACGAUCUGAUCGUAGAAACUUGAUUUUCCUGUCACGUUGAUUCUCAACUUCACUCUAAAAUUCCUUGAACUUUUCAAAGGUCUCAGACUUGUGUUUCAUCAAGUAGACAUACCCAUAUCUACUCAAGUCAUCAGUGAGGGUGAGAACAUAACGAUAGCCACCGCGAGCCUCAACACUCAUUGGACCGCACACAUCAGUAUGUAUAAUUUCCAAUAAGUUGGUUGCUCUCUCCAUUGUUCCUGAGAAUGGAGUCUUGGUCAUUUUACCCAUGAGGCAUGGUUCGCACGUGUCAAAUGAUUCGUAAUCAAGAGACUCUAAAAGUCCAUCAGCAUGGAGCUUCUUCAUGCGUUUGACACCUAUGUGACCGAGGCGGCAGUGCCACAAGUAUGUGGGACUAUCACUAUCAAUCUUACAUCUUUUGGUACUUACACUAUGAAUAUGUGUAGCAUUACGCUCGAGAUUCAUAAAGAAUAAACCAUUCACCAUCGGAGCAUGACCAUAAAACAUAUCUCUCAUAUAAAUAGAACAACCAUUAUUCUCGGAUUUAAAUGAGUAGCCAUCUCGAAUUAAACGAGAUCCUGAUACAAUGUUCAUGCUCAAACUUGGCACAAAAUAACAAUUAUUGAGGUUCAAAACUAAUCCCGUAGGUAAAUGUAGAGGUAGCGUGCCGACGGUGAUCACAUCGACCUUGGAACCAUUCCCGACGCGCAUCGUCACCUCAUCCUUCGCCAGUCUCCGUUUAUUCUGCAGCUCCUGUUGCGUGUUACAAAUAUGAGCAACGGCACCGGUAUCAAAUACCCAGGAGUUACUACGAUUACUGGUAAGGUACACAUCAAUUACAUGUAUAUCAAAUAUACCUUUGGUUUUGCCGGCCUUCUUGUCUGCUAAGUAUUUGGGGCAGUUCCGCUUCCAGUGACCACUUUCCUUGCAAUAAAAACACUCAGUCUCGGGCUUGGGUCCAUUCUUUGGCUUCUUCCCGGCAGCUUGCUUGCUGGGCGCGGCAACUACCUUGCCGUCCUUCUUGAAGUUCUUUUUACCCUUGCCCUUCUUGAACUUAGUGGUUUUAUUGAUCAUCAACACUUGAUGUUCCUUUCUGACUUCUACCUCUGCUGAUUUCAGCAUAGCAAAUACUUCAGGAAUGGUCUUUUCCAUCCCCUGCAUAUUGAAGUUCAUCACAAAGCUCUUGUAGCUUGGUGGAAGCGACUGGAGGAUUCUGUCAAUGACCGCAUCAUCCGGGAGAUUAACUCCCAGCUGAGUCAAGCGGUUAUGCAACCCAGACAUAGUGAGUAUGUGCUCACUGACAGAACUGUUUUCCUCCAUCUUACAACUGAAGAAUUUGUCAGAGACUUCAUAUCUCUCGACCCGGGCAUGAGCUUGGAAAACCAUUUUCAGCUCUUCGAACAUCUCAUAUGCUCCAUGUCUCUCAAAACGCUUUUGGAGCCCCGGCUCUAGGCUGUAAAGCAUGCCGCACUGAACGAGGGAGUAGUCAUCAGAACGUGCCUGCCAAGCGUUCAUAACGUCUUGUUCUGCAGGGAGAACAGGUGCAUCACCUAGCGGUGCUUGUAGGACAUAAUCUUUCUUGGCAGCUAUGAGGAUGAUCCUCAGGUUCCGGACCCAGUCCGUAUAGUUGCUGCCAUCGUCUUUCAGCUUGGUUUUCUCUAGGAACGCGUUGAAGUUGAGGACUACGUUGGCCAUUUGAUCUACAAGACAUAUUGUAAAAUUUUAGACUAAGUUCAUGAUAAUUAAGUUCAUCUAAUCAAAUUAUAAUGAACUCCCACUGAGAUUUGACAUCCCUUUGGUCAUCUAAGUGUUACACGAUCCGAGUCGACUAGGCCGUGUCCGAUCAUCACGUGAGACGGACUAGUCAUCGUCGGUGAACAUUCUCAUGUAGAUCGUAUCUUCCAUACGACUCGUGUUCGACCUUUCGGUCUCCGUGUUCCGAGGCCAUGUAUGUACAUGCUAGGCUCGUCAAGUUAACCCUAAGUGUUUUCGCUGUGUAAAACUGUCUUACACCCGUUGUAUGUGAACGUAAGAAUCUAUCACACCCGAUCAUCACGUGGUGCUUCGAAACGACGAACUGUAGCAACGGUGCACAGUUAGGGGAGAACACUUCUUGAAAUUUUGUAAGGGAUCAUCUUAUUUACUACCGUCGUUCUAAGUAAACAAGAUGCAUAAAACAUAAUAAACAUCACAUGCAAUUAUAUAAGUAGUGACAUGAUAUGGCCAAUAUCAUAUAGCUCCUUUGAUCUUCAUCUUCGGGGCUCCAUGAUCAUCUUGUCACCGGCAUGGCACCAUGAUCUCCAUCAUCAUGAUCUCCAUCAUCGUGUCUUCAUGAAGUUGUCACGCCAACGACUACUUCUACUUCUAUGACUAACGCGUUUAGUAAUAAAGUAAAGUAGUUUACAUGGCGUUCUUUAAUGACACGCAGGUCAUACAAAAAAUAAAGACAACUCCUAUGGCUCCUGCCGGUUGUCAUACUCAUCGACAUGCAAGUCGUGAUUCCUAUUACAAUAGCAUGAACAUCUCAUACAUGACAUAUAGAUCAUUCAUCAUUCAUCACAACUUUGGCCAUAUCAUAUCACAAAGCACUUGCUGCAAAAACAAGUUAGACGUCCUCUAAUUGUUGUUUGCAAGUUUUACGUGGCUGAAGUAGGGUUCUAGCAAGAACGUUUUCUUACCUACGUGAAACCACAACGUGAUUUGUCAACUUCUAUUUACCCUUCAUAAGGACCCUUUUCAUCGAAUCCGCUUCAACUAAAGUAGGAGAGACAGACACCCGCCAGCCACCUUAUGCAACUUGUGCAUGUUAGUCGGUGGAACCGGUCUCACGUAAGCGUACGUGUAAGGUUGGUCCGGGCCGCUUCAUCCCACAAUACCGCUGAAGCAAGAUAAGACUAGUAGCGGCAAGAAAGUUGACAAAUCUACGCCCACAACCAAUUGUGUUCUACUCGUGCAAGAAGAACUACGCAUAGACCUAGCUCAUGAUGCCACUGUUGGGGAACGUUGCAGAAAAUAAAAAUUUUCCUACUUGUUUCACCAAGAUCAUCUAGGAGUUCAUCUAGCAACGAGUGAAUAGAUGCAUCUACAUACCUUGUAGAUCGCGAGCGGAAGCGUUCAAAGAACGGGGAUGAUGUAGUCGAACACGACGUGAUCCAAAUCACCGGAGAUCCUAGCACCGAACGGACGGCACCUCCGCGUUCAACACACGUACGGAAACAACCACGUCUCCUCCUUCUUGAUCCAGCAAGGGAGGGAGGAGAGGUUGAGGGAGAUGGCACCAGCAGCAGCACGACGGCGUGGUGUUGAUGGAGCUGCAGUACUCCGGCAGAGCUUCGCUAAGCAAUAAGGAGGUGGAGGAGGUGUUGGGGAGGGAGAAGGAGGCAACCAAAGGCCAAGGACUCAAGGUAUGAAGUCCCUCCUCUCCCCCACUAUAUAUAGGGGUGCCAAGGGGGGGUGGCCGGCCCUAGGAGAUCCAAUCUCCUAGGGGGUGCGGCGGCCAAGGGGGGUUUCCCUCCCCCCCAAGGCACCUAGGAGGUGCCUUCCACUAGUAGGACUCCUCCCCCUUGGAAACCCUAGGCGCAUGGGCCUAGUGGGGCUGGUGCCCUUGGCCCAUGUAGGCCAAGGCGCACCCCCUACAGCCCAUGUGGCCCCCGGGGAUGGGUGGCCCCACCCGGUGGGCCCCCGGGACCCCUCCGGUGGUCCCGGUACAAUACCGAUAACCCCGAAACUUGUCCCGAUGCCCGAAACAGGACUUCCCAUAUAUAAAUCUUUACCUCCGGACCAUUCCGGAACUCCUCGUGACGUCCGGGAUCUCAUCCGGGACUCCGAACAACAUUCGGGUUACUGCAUAUACAUAUCCCUACAACCCUAGCGUAACUGAACCUUAAGUGUGUAGACCCUACGGGUUCGGGAGACAUGUAGACAUGACCGCGAUCGCUCUCCGGUCAAUAACCAACAGCGGGAUCUGGAUACCCAUGUUGGCUCCCACAUGCUCCACGAUGAUCUCAUCGGAUGAACCACGAUGUCGAGGAUUUAAUCAACCCCGUAUGCAAUUCCCUUUGUCAAUCGAUAUGUUACUUGCCCGAGAUUCGAUCGUCGGUAUCCCAAUACCUCGUUCAAUCUUGUUACCGGCAAGUCACUUUACUCGUACCGUAAUGCAUGAUCCCGUGACCAAACACUUAGUCACUUUGAGCUCAUUAUGAUGAUGCAUUACUGAGUGGGCCCAGUGAUAUCUCUCCGUCAUACGGAGUGACAAAUCCCAGUCUCGAUCCAUAUAAAACAAUAGAUACUUUCGGAGAUACCUGUAGUGCACCUUUAUAGUCACCCAGUUACGUUGUGACGUUUGAUACACCCAAAGCACUCCUACGGUAUCCAGGAAUUAUACGAUCUCAUGGUCGAAGGAAGAGAUACUUUGACAUUGCAAAACUCUAGCAAACGAACUAUACGAUCUUGUGCUAUGUUUAGGAUUGGGUCUUGUCCAUCACAUCAUCAUCCUAAUGAUGUGAUCCCGUUAUCAAUGACAUCCAAUGUCCAUAGCCAGGAAACCAUGACUAUCUAUUGAUCAACGAGCUAGUCAACUAGAGGCUUACUAGGGACAUGUUGGUGUCUGUUAUUCACACAUGUAUAACGAUUUCCGGAUAACACAAUUAUAGCAUGAAUAAAGACAAUUAUCAUGAACAAAGAAAUAUAAUAAUAAUGCUUUUAUUAUUGCCUCUAGGGCAUAUUUCCAACACGAGUCUCGUCAUAUAAGCCUUCACACAGAUUUUGAAAGGAACGUUAAUGAGUGUAAUAGGGUGAUAUUGCUUAAUCAUGUCAGCCCCUUUGACCUUUGGGAUUAAGCUUAUAACACCUUAAUUGAGAUGCGAGAUGUCAACAGUUCCUAAUGCAAAGCCAUUAAUAAUAUCAUAAAAUAGAUCUUUUAAUGCAGGCCAAAACCGACGAAAGAAAGGCACUGGCCAGCCAUCAGGGCCGGGGGUAGUAUCGAUCUUCAUUGAGCCGAGAGCAGUAUCAAUUUCCUCGGUGGAAAAGCACAGGGCCAUAAGAUCAUUUUCGGCCUGAGAAACGCGAGCGUUGUCCCCCCCCCCCAUAUACCGGCUCAAAGGCGAAGGCGUUUCUCCUCAGUUGUUCCCAACAGAUUGAGGAAAAACUCGUAUAUGUGGGCCAAGAUGUCCGCUUGGCUAACUAACACCCCUUGAUCAGCUUGAAGCCUCAGGAUCGAGCAUUUCCCUUUACGACCAUUGGCGUAAGCGUGAAAAUAUCCGGUGUUAGCGUCUCCCUUGGUAACCCACUUGACGUCGCCCCUACGACGCCAGUACUCCUCCUCUUCCGUGAGGAUGGAGAGCACCUGGUUUUCUAGCGCGUAGCGAUUAGCCCACUCAGCCUCCAAAAAGGGUCUGGGGUUUGCUUAAGCAUCAAGGGAUUUGAUCUCAUCGAUAAGAGCUUCCCUUUCUCGCUUUGCCUCACUACCGUGGUUUGCCCCCCAACCAUGAAGGAAGCCGCGUAAGGCCCCUGCCGCAGAGAUCCAUAGGUCCAUUGGCCCCCUGAGGCGACCACAUGAAGCAAUCGCUUGCUCCCAGCGAGCGAUGAUGAGAGGAACGAACCCGUCGACCUCAAACCAGCUAGUUUCAAAAUAGAAGCGUGGGCUGCGUUUGAUCCUAUCCUCCCCUGAGGCUAAGAUAAAUGGGACAUGGUCUGAACCAAUACGAGUUGCUGCAACAAGCGUACACAAGGGGAAAAGGAUUUCCCAAUCUGACAAGACGAAAAGGCGAUCGAGGACACUACGGACUGGGGGCUAAUUGUUUGUUUGUCCAGGUAUAUCUAGCACUAGUCCUAGCAAUUUCCCGCAACACAGAAUCAACAAUUGCUUUAUUGAAGAGCGCCACCCUUGGCCAGUCAAUAUAGCGGGUAUUCUUAUCAGCUGAGCGGAUAAGGUUGAAAUCACCCCCAAGAAUGAUAGGGAUGUCUGCGGCUUGCUUGGUCCCAACCAGAGCUUGGAUUUCUCCCAGAAAAUCCACCGCACACGAGUGAUCAGCAGGGCCAUAUAUGCACCCGAUCGCCUAGACAGCUAAGGACACUCGAUGUUUGAUCGUAGCCGAAAUAAAAAAGGAGCUCGAUUCCCAAGUUACAAUAUCACAUACAUCACGAUUACAACCCAAAAGAAGCCUGCCCGAGUGACCACAAGAGGGAACCCAACCCCAUGAGAAGCGUUGAAGGGGGUCGGAGGCCGCAAGAUCCCUGAAGGAGAAAUCAACUUUGAUCGUCUCUUGAAGCGCAACAACGUCGAUCUGUUCAUGAGCCAUAUAUUCUCUAAGCUGGGUACGACGGCUCGAGUGACCACAUCCCCUAAUAUUCCAGAACAGGUAUCGCAUUAGAUAAUACGGUUACGGAGGCGAACCCCUCUGGAGGUCACCGUUUUUGCGAGUCUUUUCUUGGCCGGGGCAUGACUGGUAGAGGGGGUCGCUUCAGCCUCCCUGGCUUCAUCCCCUCCACCCGAUAGAACAGGCACCCGAGCACCAGGCCCAGCCCCAACUGUGUCCUGAGCUGACUCAACCACAGAGAUGGCCUCCCUGGCCUUGGCCGCAGCCGUAGCCUCUGCAAGAGCCGCUUGGGCUUCCUCGCGUGCUCGAAUCAAAGAAAUAAUCUCACCACCCUCCGAGCCUAACUCGAAACCACUAUCAUCCAGAAUCGAAGCUAAUUGCCGAUCAAAAAAAGCAUUCUGAAUUUUAUAAGAGGAGGGGAUUACCUGAGGUCUCCAGGUUCUUGUCAGCAAGGCGAAGCUAGGAACUCUCCAGGGAAGAAAGCUCCCCCAGUGCCGCCUUGGAUCUUGCACUUGGAACCUGCAGGGUCACUGGGGUCGUCUUGGAGCGCUUGGCCUUAGCAGCCACACCCGCUGAGCCCAGUGCAGCCUGAAGAUCACCACUUGCCGGAGCAGCCGGCGACGGGAGAGACAACACUGCAGGGUUGGCCACCGGCCUCCGGCCUACCGUCUUCUUGGGUGCGCGCCUAGAUCCACCAGAACUGCGACGGCUUGACAGGGGAGAGCGGAGGGGUCGUUCAUUGAGCAUGCAUCCCGCGUCGGAGCCCUGGAGUCCAGGCGAGACGGGAACAGAGGCAGCCGCAGCCCCAACCACCAGCACACCACCCACAACAAGCUUAGAAACAAUAGCCACCAUCAUAUUUGAGCCAUACUGAUCAAACAACCGCUCCAGGGAACGGGCCAUGGGAGGGCUGCUCCCAGCCGUAUCCAGCACCGCGAGCGCCCCAGACUCUGAUGAAUCCUUAUCCGUAGGAGGAUUGCGCACAUUGAUACCCAGCCGAUCACAAGUCUUAGUGUCAACGGACGUGUCAGGCAUGCUGCCCUCGGGGUCUUCAUCAUGACACGCCAUCUCCACAUCAUUGACUUGACCAACAGGGAGACCUCCCUGGCCCCCUUAACCAUCCUUCUUCUGCCCGAUUGGUCCACCGGCCCCCGAGCCAGGCGGGCCACCACACUUAUCAGAGGGCCGCAGAGGAGCGUCACUGGGGCCUGGCGCCGCUGGCCCAUCCCCUGGGUGUUUCGGCAGCCGCUCCACCUCAACCUUGAUAUCAUAGCCCUCAUGGUUGACGUAGCCGUUCAACUUAUCAAGAGCCUUACAUCCAAACUUCAUCCUGACCGGUUCCAAACGGAUAAGGGAGAGCUCGUCCACCACAAUAGGCCUCCCGAGCAUCUUAGGCCCCUCCAUCAGCCAAUCGACGCGGCGGUGCUUCUUAGGAAUGCCAUGAAGGCGGAUCCAGACCUCAGGCAUUGAGAGAGGUACAAUCUCUUCGUGAAUGGAGUCACGGACCAUAACCGUGAUGUCGUUGAUAGAGAGGAAGAGCUUGCCACUAGAUUUUGCCAUGUGGAGCAGAUCAGUUAAGGGAAAAAUCAUCGAGAAAUCAUUCUCACCGAUCUGCCAGUCCUAGUCCCCAGCCACCAUAUGUUUUAGCUCUUGUUUGAGCGUGCGGAGCGAGAGCAUACCAGGCUCUGCAGAGAGGAUAGCGCCAUUGAUGGCCUUCAGAUCAGUACCCUCAUCCUCGUCUACGUAUUCACGCAAAGAGGGGGAAACUUGCAUUAAGCUUGGAAAUGGCCCGUCCGCCCGCACUUGAAGCACUCAGAUCCAAUCACUUCUUAAAAUGGAAUGGGCGCCGCCGCCAAACCCUGAGGCGCAUCCGGUAGAGCCACCACCAAGGGCUCAGCUGACACCCAUGGUUUCUUGGCCAGCGGAUCCCCGUGGCCCCCACCACACAAGGGAUGCUCCUGCGGCUUGCGCUCGAGCUCGUGGCGCCGUUGACCCUGCUUGUGCUUCUUCUUUCUUUCCUGCUGCACCCACCAAGGCAGAGGAGGAUCCCAAUCCCCCUCGCGCCCGUAGGAGCCUUGACCUUGGUCUUGCCCGUAGUCACCACUGUGGCCUUGCCCGAAACCGCCGUCGUUGCCCUGACCCGCAGCCCUAGCCCGCUGGUUGUGCUUGGCCUUCUCAUGCAGCUCCUUCUCAUGACGCCGCUCCGCCUCUGGAUCCAGGGGCACCAUGGGACGCUUCUCCGCCCUCCGAUCGCCCAUGGACAUCACCUCGGCGAAGGAGAGGGUGAGGAUAGGUGGAGAGGGAGAGGGAAGGAAAGAUCUGGCGGAAGAGGCAAAGCGUCGCACCUCACUGGCAGUAGCCGGAAACCCUAGCGAAGGGUCUCGCACUCCCCUUCUCAGCGAUAUAUAGCGAGUCACCACGAGCCCCCGAGCCACCUGCGAGACAGGCCGAGAAAAGAGGGCCAGCGGAGGGCCCGGUCCAACGUUGCCAGCCGAAGGCCCCCAAGCCCCUGCAGACACCGAGCCAGACACGGGCCCCUACGUCACCAAGCCAACCGAGGCCAGCCCAGGCCCAACAGGUGAAAUCGAGCCCGGCAAAUGGUCUAGAGGGGGAUCAUCGCACAGCAGAGCUAACCUAGCCCAGCCACCGGCUCCACCGGCGUCUCCGCCGCCCGCAGCGCCGGAGAAGAACGGGAGGGGAGCGCCGGCCACAAUUCCGGGACUGACACGCCAGAGCACAAAACUGCCUCCGGCACGGGAGCAGGAGACGACAGGCUAGCACCCCACGGGCCCGAAGCCAAAUACACCGGCGGCCGCAAGAGCCGAGCCAUAGUCGCCCUCAAUCCGCUGCCGCCCGGAGCAAAGGGCAUCGCCGAUCGCCCUGGCCAGCGCCGCCCUCCGUCACCUGCUGGAUGAUAAUCCCCAAGUGCAUGGAAACAUCGUAGCAAUUCCCAAAGGUGGAAGUGAUAAGUAUGGAGUGUCGAACCCACAAGGAGCUAAAGGUAAGAUCAAUAUUAUCUCAAGUCCUAUCUGCCAUUGAUACGGCUCUACGUACACCGAAUGUUUGCUUACAACUAGAAACGAGAAAUAAUACUAUGUCGUGGGUAUGAAGAGGAUAACUUUGCAUGGUAUCGGAGAUAUAAAAUAUAAAAGUAGGUUCUAUUAUCAUAAAGUUAGAAUAUAUUACUUAAGUGUUAUAAAUAGCGAGUGUGGAAUAAUGAAGGAUCGGUGUGCGGAAUUGUCCUAGGCAAUUGUUAACAAGACCGAUAGUCGUCAUUGCAAUUUCAUAUGAGGGAGAGGCAUAAGAUAACAUACUUUCUCUUCUUGGAUCAUAUGCACUUAUGAUUGGAACUCUAGCAAGCAUCCGCAACUACUAAAGAUCAUUAAGGUAAAACCCAACCAUAGCAUUAAAGCAUCAAGUCCCCUUUAUCCCAUACGCAACAACCCCCUUACUCGGGUUUAUGCUUCUGUCACUCAAGCAACCCACUAUAAGCGAAUCAUGAACGUAUUGCAACACCCUACAGCGGGAAUCCCUCACGCUUGCGCGACACGGAGGGCACAAUAGGACAACACCAAAAUAGAACAUACAACUCGUACCAAUCUAGAUCAUCAAUCAACCCAAAUACAAAGGAUAUCUACUCAAAACAUCAUAGGAUGGCAACACAUCAUUGGAUCAUAAUAUGUGGCAUAAAGCACCAUGUUCAAGUAGGGAUUACAGCGGGGUGCGGGAGAUUGGACCGUGUAAAAGAGAUGAGGAUGGUGAUGUUGAUAAAGACGAUCACCGCAGCGAUGAUUCCCCUCCCGAUGGCACUCUGGUGCCACCGAGAGAGAGGAGGAUAGGUUCUCCCCCUUGUGCUUCCUCCUCCAUGGCCUCCCCCUGGAUGGGGAGAGGUUCUCCAUCUGGUCCUUGGCCUUCAUGGUGAUGAUGGCCCCUCCGGGAUCCUCCUCCAUAGCCUCCAGUGAUGAUGGCCCCCUCCGGCAGGGUGCCAGAGAGGGCCUAGAUUGAUUUCUCGUGGCUACAGAGGCUUGUGGUGGCACAACUUCCGAUCUAGGUUAUUUUCUGGAGGUUUGGGCAUUUAUAGGAGAGGUUGGCGUCGAGAACAAGUCAGGUGGCCCCACGGGAAGUCCACGAGGCAUAGGGGCGCGCCCAGCGGGGUGGGCGCGCCCCCACCCUCGUGGGCCCCUAGGGAUGCCCCUCCGGUAGAUUUUUGUUCUAGUAUUUUUUAUAUUUUCCAGAAAAAUUCUCCGUUGAUUUUCAUCGCAUUCCGAGAACUUCUAUUUCUACACAAAACAACACCACGGUAGUUCUAUUGAAAACAGCGUUAGUCCGGGUUAGUUCUAAUCAAAUCAUACCAAAAUCAUAUAAAACUAUUGUAAACAUGGCAUGAAUACUUUAUAAAUUAUAGAUAUGUUGGAGACGUAUCAGCAUCCCCAAGCUUAAUUCAUGCUCGUCCUCGAGUAGGUAAAUGAUAAAAAAAUAAUUUAUGAAGUGUGAAUGCUAGCAAGUGCUUAAGUUUGAUCAAUGAUAGUUUCAAUCACUUUUUAUAGCAUCAUUAUAUAUCAUAACAGUAUCUCAACUCAUAAAACUUCUCAUGAUCAAGUAACAAGCUAUUCACAUGUUAAAGUAUAGAUCAUAAACUUUCUUGAAAACUAACAAAAUGUGCUCUUAGUCAUCAAACAAUUGCAAUUCAUCUUAUUUUUUAGAAGGGCCUAUGUAAGAGCUUUGAUUCAGCAAACUCCACAUACUCAACUAUCAUUUAAUCUUUCACAAUUUCUAACACUCAUGUGAUAUUUAUGGGUUCAAAGUUUUAAUCAGACACAGAGAAAGAUAGGGGCUUAUAGUUUCGCCUCCCAACCUUUUACCUCAAGGGUAAUGUCAACAAUAAUAAUUUAUGAAAACCUACAUCCAAGUGAUAUAUAUAUAUAUAUAUAUAUAUAUCCGGAUUGCUCCAACACAAAGUGCUUGCCAAAGGAAAAAGUGUAAAAAAAGGGAAAGGUGAUGAUCACCAUGACUCCUGUAUAUGGGUAGAAGAUAAAAGUACAAGAUAGGCCCUUCGCAGAGGGAAGCGGAGGUUGUCAUGUGCUUUUAUGGUUGGAUGCACAAAAUCUUAAUGCAAAAGAACAUCACUUUAUAUCGCUACUUAUGAUAUGGACCUUUAUUAUGCAGUCCGUCGCUUUUAUUUCUUCCACAUCACAAGAUCAUAUAGAUCUUAUUUUCUCCACACUAAUAGAUCAUACAUAUUUAGAGAGCAAUUUUUAUUACUUGCACCGAUGACAACUUACUUGAAGGAUAUUACUCAAUCCAUAGGUAGGUAUGGUCGACUCUCAUGGCAAAACUAGUUUAAGGAAAUUUGGAAGCACAAGUAGUAUCUCUACUUGGUGCAAAGAAUUUGGCUAGCAUGAGAGGGAAAGGCAAGCUCAACAUGUUGGAUGAUCCAAGACAAUAUAACAUUUCGGAUAUAGGAAGACAUAACCCAUUAAGUUGUCUUCCUUGUCCAACAUCAACCUUUUAGUAUGUCAUAUUUUAAUGAGUGCUCACAAUUGCAAAAGAUGUCCAAGAUAGUAUAUUUAUAUGUGAAAUCUCUCUUCCUUCAAUAUUUUUUCAUGAAUUGUUCAAGUGACCAAUUCUUCAUUUGCUAACUUCCAAUAAGUUUACUACCUACACUUAUUAUGCGUGAAGUCAUUACUCCCCAUGUUGUAAGCAUAUGAAAUGUAUAUAAAUUCAGAUUUAUGAUAUUCAAUUCAUUCAACCAUUUACUCAUAGGAUAUAUGUGAAGCACGUGAGUAAAUUACAAACUACUCCAAAAAGAUAUAAGUGAAGAAUACUGAGUAGUCAAAUAAUUAAAUAGCCAUGGGAGGAUUCUUUUUCAUUCAAGAUUUCAGAUCCAAUGAUUUUAUUCAAAUAGCAAGUAAAAUUGAAAAUACGCUCCAAGCAAAACACAUAUCGUGUGACGAAUAAAAAUAUAGCUCCGAGUAAGGUAUACCGAUAGUUUUGAAGACGAAAGAGGGGAUGCCUUCCGGGGCAUCCCCAAGCUUAGGUGCUUGAGUCUUCCUUGAAUAUUACCUUUGUGUGCCUUGGUCAUCCCCAAGCUUAGGGCCUUUCCACUCCUUAUUCUCCUCAUAUCGAUAUCUCACCCAAAGCUUGAAAACUUCAAUCACACAAAACUUAACGGAACUUCGUGAGAUUGGUUAGUAUGAUAAAGAGUAAACCAUUCACUUUGGUACUGUCAAAGACAAGGCUCAUAAUUGUUCUCACACAAUGCCUACUGUACCAUAUCAUUUCUACAAUUUAUAUUGAGAAAUAUAGGCCAUAGAAACUAGAAAAUAAGCAAACUAUGCAAUGAAAACAGAAUCUGUCAGAAACAGAACAGUCUGUAAUGAUCUGAACACCAUCCAUACUUAUGCUACUCCAAAAAUUCUGAAAUAAAUUGGUGGACGUGAGGAAUUUUCCUAUUAAUCUUCUGAAAAAAGAAUCAACUCAAUCGCACUCUUCUGUAAAAAAAUGGCAGCUACUCUGUGAGCGCAAAGUUUCUGUUUUUUACAGCAAGAUCACAUUAACUUUCACCCAAGUCUUCCCACAGGUCUUACUUAGCACUUUAUUGAAACAAAAGCUAUAAAACAUGAUUACUACAGUAGCUUAGUCAUGUAAACACACAAAAACAGUAACGGUAAAUAUUGGGUUGUCUCCCAACAAGCGCUUUUCUUUAAUGCCUUUUAGCUUGGCAUGAUGAUUUCAAUGAUGCUCUCAUAAAGGAUCAGAAUUGAAACAUAAAGACAGCAUCAUGAAUAGUAUGACUAGCACAUUUAAAUCUAACCCACUUACUAUUCCUAGGGAUUUUGUGAGCACACAAUUUAUGGGAACAAGAAUCAACUAGCAUAGGAAGGAAAAUCGAGUAUAACAUCAGAACUUUAAGCAUAUAGAGGAAACUUGAUAUUAUUGCAACUCCUACAAACAUGUAUUCCUCCCUCAUAAUAAUUUUCAGUAGCAUCAUGAAUGAGUUCAACAAUAUAACCAUCACAUAAAGCAUUCUUUUCAUGAUCUACAAGCAUAGAAAUUUUACUACUCUCCACAUAAGAAAAAUUCUCCUCCUUCAGAAUAGUGGGAACAAACUUCUUCUAAAUCCACUUUAGAUGACAGUAUUAUUCAUACUCCAAAAGAUAUAAGUAAAGUUCAUGGAGCAUUCUACAAUUAAUAUAGACUAACCAAUAUCCAAGCUCAAAAUAUAUAUGUGAAGCACACGAAGCAUUCUAUAAAACCAUACUCAAAAGAUUUAAGUGAAGCACAAAGAGCAAUUCUAUAAGAUCAUACUUAAAAGAUAUAAGUGAAGCACACGAAGUAUUCUAUAAAUCAAUAAAGGACUAUCUCAUACUAGCAUGGUUCUUAAAGGAAAAACAAAAACACAAAGGACACAAAUCAUGUGAACAAAACAAAAACCGAGGUAUACCGAUAAUUGUUGAAGAAGAAGGAUGGGAUGCCAACCGGGGCAUCCCCAAGAUUAGAUGCUUGAGUAUCCUUCCAAUAUUUACUUGGGGUGCCUUGGGCAUCCCCAAACUUGAGCUCUUGUCUCUCUUUAUUCUUCUCAUAUUGAUAGCUCCUCGAUCUUCGAACACUUCAUCCACACAAAACUUUAACAAAAACUUUGUGAGAUCCGUUAGUGUAAUAAAGCAAAUCGCUACCUUUAGGUACUGUUGCAAACUUAUUCCAAUUUCAUAUUAGAACUAUAUCUACUGUAUUCCAACUUCACUAUGGUUCAUACCCCCCGAUACUACCCAUAGAUUCAUGAAAAUAAGCGAACAACUCAUAGAAAACAGAAUCUAUCAAAAACAGGACAGUCUGUAGUAAUCUGGAAGUUUGGUAAACUUCUGUAACUCCAAAAAAUUCUAAAAAUACAUUAAACUUUAAAUGAUUUAUACAGAAGUAAUGUGCAAAAAGUGUCAGACCCAUUUGACUUUCCGGUAAAAAAUGUAAAAAUACGCGCUACAGCCAAAGUUUCUGUUUUUGUACUAUACACAGUGAACAAGCAAUCUAAUCAUCCUAAAACCGAAGCUUGGCACAUUAUUUUUAUAAUAUAAUGGAUAUAUACAAGGGGAUAACUAUUUUCAGAGAAGCUUCCAUGAAAAAAUUUACAUUGUUUCCAUGAGCAUGAACACAAGUGCUCAAGGUCGACCCCCAUUUCUUCAAUGCAUAAUCUUCCAAUCACUUCUCAUAUUGAAAAACAUUUUAGGCAUGAGAGGCAAGUAAUUUUUUUGUAUUUUCAUUCUUUAAAAAAAUUGUAUGUUUCACCCAAAACUAAACAUAAACAAAAAAGGAAAAACAAAAUCUACUUAGUGAAGAAAGCAAAUAAGCACACACGAGAGUAUCAACCCCACGUUAUUGCUCCCCGGCAACGGCGCGAGAAAAGAGCUUGAUAAUCCCCAAGUGCAGGGAAACAUCGUAGCAAUUCCCAAAGGUGGAAGUGAUAAGUAUGGAUUGUAGAACCCACAAAGAGCUAAAGGUAAGAUCGAUAUUCUCUCAAGUCCUAUCUGCCACUGAUACGACUCUAUGUACACUGAACGUUUGCUUCCAACUAGAAACGAGAAAUAAUACUACGUUGUGGGUAUGAAGAGGAUAACUUUGCAUGGUAUCAGAGAGAUAAAAUAUAAAAGUAGGUUAUGUUAUCAUAAAGUUAGAAUAUAUUACUUAAGUAUUAUAAAUAGCGAGUGUGGAAUAAUGAUGGAUCACUGUGCGGAAUUAUCCUAGGCAAUUGUUAACAAGACCGAUAUUCGUCAUUACAAUUUCAUAUGAGCGAGAGGCAUAAGCUAACAUACUUUCUCUUCUUGGAUCAUAUGCACUUAUGAUUGGAACUCUAGCAAGCAUCUGCAACUACUAAAGAUAAUUAAGGUAAAACCCAACCAUAGCAUUAAAGCAUCAAGUCCCCUUUAUCCCAUACGCAAUAACCCCCUUACUCGGUUUUAUGCUUCUUUCACUCAAGACACCCACUAUAAGCGAAUCAUGAACGUAUUGGAACACCCUAUAGCGGGAAUCCCUCACGCUUGCGCGACACGGAGGGCACAAUAGGACAACACCAAAAUAAAACAUACAACUCGUACCAAUCUAGAUCAUCAAUCAACCCAAAGACAAAGGAUAUCUACUCAAAACAUCAUAGGAUGGCAACACAUCAUUGGAUCAUAAUAUGUGGCAUAAAGCACCAUGUUCAAGUAGGGAUUACAGCGGGCGCGGGAGAGUGGACCGCUUAAAAGUAACGCCCACGAUGCGGCUAUAUCUCCCACGUGUCGAAGCACGACUUAGAGGCAUAACUGCAUUGUAAGCAAUGUCGCAAGAAGGGUAAUCUUUACACAUCCCAUGUACUGAAUAAGGAAAGAGAUACAUAGUUGGCUUACAAUCGCCACUUCACACAAUACAUGAAUAAAUCAUUACAACAUCCAGAUACAAUCAAGGUCCGACUACGGAACAAAAAUAGAAGAAGACCACCCCUAAUGCUACAGAUCCCCGAUCGUCCCAACUGGGCUCCACUACUGAUCAAUUGGAAACGAAACAACAUAAUGAACGAGAUCUUCAUCGAGCUCCUCCUUGAGCUCGGUUGCGUCACCUGCACGGUAUCAUCGGCACCUGCAAACUGGUUUUGGAAGUAAAUCUGUGAGUCACGGGGACUCAGCAAUCUCACACCCUCGCGAUCAAGACUAUUUAAGCUUAUGGGUAGGGUAAAGGUAUGAGGUGGAGCUGCAGCAAGCACUAGCAUAUAUGGUGGCUAACAUACGCAAAUGAGAGCGAGAAGAGAAGGCAAAGCACUUUUGAGAAUCUAUGAUCAAGAAGUGAUCCUAGACUACUUAUGUUCAAGCAUAACUCCAACACCGUGUUCACUUCCAGGACACCGCCGGAAAGAGACCAUCACAGCUACACACGCGGUUGAUGCAUUUUAUUUAAGUUAAGUGUCAAGUUCUCUACAACCGGACAUUAAAAAAUUCCCAUCUGCCCAUAACCGCGGGCACGGCUUUCGAAAGUUCAAAACCCUGCAGGGGUGUCCCAACUUAGCCCAUCACAAGCUCUCAUGGUCAACGAAGGAUAUUCCUUCUCCCAGGACGGCCCGAUCAGACUCGGAAUCCCGGUUACAAGACAUCUCGACAAUGGUAAAACAAGUCCAGCAAAGCCACCCGAAUGUGCCGACAAAUCCCGAUAGGAGCUGCACAUAUCUCGUUCUCAGGGCACACCUGAUAAGCAAUCCGUACAACUAAAACCAGCCCUCGAGUUUCCCCGAGGUGGCGCUGCAAGGGGCUCUAGUUUCAGACCAACACUUAGAGAAGCACUGGCCCGGGGGGGUUAAAUAAAGAUGACCCUUGAGUCUGCAGAACCCAAGGGAAGGUGGUAGGUUGUUAGUGCGAAUGGUAAAACCAAGGUUGGGCCUUACUGGAAGAGUUUUAUUCAAGGCGAACUAUCAAGGGGUUCCCAUUAUAACCCAACCAUGUAAGGAAGGCAAAAUAAAGGAACAUAACACCGGUAUGACGGAAAUUAGGGCGGCAAGAGUGGAACAAAACACCAGGCAUAAGGCUGAGCCUUCCACCCUUUACCAAGUAUAUAGAUGCAUUAAUUAAAUAAGAGAUAUUGUGAUAUCCCAACAAAAUAUCCAUGUUCCAACAUGGAACAAACUCCAUCUUCACCUGCAACUAGCAACGCUAUAAGAGGGGCUAAGCAAAGCGGUAACAUAGCCAAACAACGGUUUGCUCGGACAAGGUGGGUUAGAGGCUUGACAUGGCAAUAUAGGAGGCAUGAUAAAUCAUGUGGUAGGUAUCGCGGCAUAGGCAUAGCAAUAGAGCGAGCAACUAGCAAGCAAAGAUAGAAGUGAUUUCGAGGGUAUGGUCAUCUUGCCUGAGAUCCCGCAAGGAAGAAGAACGAGUCCCUGAAGCAGACAAGCGGAUGUAGUCGAACGGAUCCUCACAAACGUGACGUUAACGGAACUAACCCGAAGAAGCGACACCAGAAAGAAGCAAACAACAUAGUAAACAACCACCACAUAAACAUGGCAUGAUGCACAAUCAAGUAUGAUGCAUGUCCGGUUUAAUGCGGCAUGGCAUGGCAAAGUGCACAAACAAUUCUACAAAUUAAGUGAAGCUCAAUAUGCAACGAGUUACAUAUUGACGGAACACCACAUUAAUUAUUUAGUUCUCUCCUGGUUAGGUACUCAACAAAUUUAAAUGUUGGUUAACAUGGCAAGAGGUGAAGCAUAACAAAACUAUACUAUCUAAACAAUUUAAAUGGGGCCGGAUAUAACAAACAACAAUUCCGGUAAAACCCCAUAUGCAUUUAGCAAUUUAAUGCAAACAACAAUUUUAAACAUAUUAAAUGUUAUUAUCAUGAUGUGGAUGACAUGUGCAAGAUUAUGCAAAUUUUAUGAAAAAUUUGACAUGAUCAUGAUAUGAAGCAUUUUGUCAUCAUGGCGGAAAUGAAAGGGGUGCCAUGGCAACGACAACGGAAAUGGUGCCACGGCAACAUUCCGGUUCCGGUAGCUCAUGGAGAUACCAAUGCAAAGGAGAAGUGUGCGGAUGCGUGCGAAAGAUGGUGGGGCGCUCCCGGAUUCUGGGUGUCCCACGAGUUGGCGUCAAGGAAAUGAGUGACAAGUUGGCAUCUCAAACAUUGCAAGCAUUCGUUCACGGACGUCGUCUCGAGGUUAUACCUUUGAAGCGUGCAAGAGGCACAAUUCUCGUUCGGUGCAAAGUAGUGGAAGUAGUCGUUAUCGCACAUUCUACGGUCGACGGUAGAGGUUCUCACGAUCUCGGCGACGGUAGUGGUACAUGUUUAUCGUUGCACGAGUUUCCGUAGACGUUCAUGUCAUCGGUGUCGUGGUACUUGGGGUCUUCGGACUUUCCGGUCCUGUUCUUGCGACGGUAGUCGUUCACGUUCGACGUCAGGGUACUUGUCGGUCCCGUCUUGGCGGCGUAGAUGUACACGUUGUCGGGGUACUUGUCGCAUCAUCGGGUGUAGUUGUACAUGAGGGUCUUGACGAAUCCGAAGGGGUACUUGAUGGGUCCGGUCUUGGCGAUCCAGGUUUCGUAGUGUCCUGGUACUUGACGCUUGGGAUUGAUUCCACGGUUGCAUGCAUCCACGGCAACACAGCGCAGAUGCAAAGAGGCAACGACUUGGCGCGGUUCUGGUGGUCGAACAAGGCAGGGCAGCUCGGCCACGCGCGCUGCGGGCGGCAGAGGACAAGCAGAGGAGCAGCAGCGUGAGGGAAGGCAGGGACGCAGGCGAGGAGCAGCCCCAGCGGCGGAGCUCCAUGGGAGGCGACUUGGUCGGGCGUGGCGGCGUGGUGCAGCAAGGCGACGAGGACGAGGCACUUCGGGGCAGCAAGGCGGAGGGCGGAGUAGAGGUGGCGUCUCUUUGUCGGAGAUGAAGAUGGUGAGGUGUGGAGGACACUGGCUCGGGCGGAGGUCGGGCCGGAGCUCCUGCUGGCAGUGAGGUUGAGGCGGGUUGGUGCCGCCAAGGAGAAGCAGGAGGAAGAGGUUGCCGCGGGAGGAAAUGGCACGGGGGAGCGAGGGAGAGGGAGAGGGGCUCCUCCCUGGGAUGUGAGGAAGGGAGCGAGAGGAGGGAGAGAUCGAUGGGGAUCGGGUCGAGGGGAGAGGGAGUCGGGUGCGAGCGCUCCUCUCCUGGAGGCAAAAGCAGGCAGACAAGGAGGAGGGGAUCGAGGGAGAGGGUUCGCUGCGCCUAGGUUUAGGUUAGGUUAGGUGGGCUGUUGGGCCUAGAGGCUGCGGGAGGCCUUAGGCCAAAAGGGCCGGUGCAGGAGGUUGGAGGCCCAACUGGGGCCUGCAGUGCUACUAUCUUCUCUUUUCUUUUUCUUCAGACAGAAAAAUAAAGAGAAAUGCACAGGGUGAAAGGAGGGUGUAUGAGAUAUAUGAGAAUAUCCACAAGACCCUGGAAUUAUACCCUAUUUUAAUAAAUUGCUUUGGGCAAUUUUAAAGGUAGAAAAUUAAACCAAGUUUGAAUCAACUUCAAACUUGAUGCAAUUUUGAACCCAACCAAAACAACGUCAAAUGAGAUGAAAUUUGGCAGAGAGGUUGAAGGCAUGGUCGAGAAUUUAUAGGAAAAGAAUGGACAUUAAUAGAGAAUGGGAAAGUGGGACUUGCGAAAGAUAGGAAAAGGAAGGGAAGGAGAAGGAGAUGAUGCAUGGAACAAAGGCAUGGGGAAAUAUUUUGCAAAUGUGUCAAGGUAAUUCCACAUGAAUGGAAUAUUUUUAUAUAGCUCCCUAAUAUUGGGAGGAUAUGUUAUAAAGAGAAUCACCAUGUGAAUUCCCUCGAUUUAAAUGGAUCAAAGAUCCAUGCAAUUUAUUUAGCUGAGUUUUAAAACGUGUUGCAUGAUGACAUGAUGCAAUGCACAUGAUGCAAGGAUGAAAAGCAACACGCAAGCAAAUGACAUGGCAACGACGGCGAAUAACUGGAAGACACCUGGCACAACAGUCUCGGGGCAUCACAAUACUCCACCACCACGAGAGGAUCUCGUCUCGAGAUCUAGAAUGGCACCGGAGAGAAACGGAAAAGGAAGAGAAGAGGUAAAAGUAAGUUGCUUCUUUGACGAAUAAGUGAACCCAAUGAACCUUGGGAGGUUGAACAAAUUUGAAAGAAAGAAUACAACGAAGAUGAACAAAGUUGAAAACCUCCGUUAGAAAAGAGGAACAAGGAACAUCACGAGAACCAUGUAGGUUUAAAGGCAUGAGAAAAGGGUUGCAAUGGACAAGAAGUACAACCAAGCACUCCGGUAGAAAUGAGAUGCAAGACUUGAAAAGGCGAAAAGAACUUGAGUAGAGGACGGAACACUCCGGUUAAAUGGAUAAGCAAAGGAAAGAACAUGAUCUUUGAUAAAACGAGACGAUGGUUGAAGAAGCAAUAUCACAAAGCCUCCGGAACGAAAGAAUAGAAGUUGGACCGUCGGAACAAAAGAACGGAGAAUCAAACACCAUCUUCUACCUCAAAUGAGCUUGAAAGCAUCUUAAAGAGAAGGGUCGAACGGAAUUUUUGGAAAACCAACAACGAAAAGAGUAAGCUUGUUGUGGGCUUAUAGAAAACAUCUCGAAAUUAUGAGGUGAAAUUCUGCCACUAAUGGAAACAAUAGAUUGGAUUGAUAUGGACAAGAUGAGAAACUUAUUUCACCGGGAGGAUAAAAGAAGAACUUGGGUCAUUUAUGAGCAUCAUAAAUAGCAACAAUCCUUAGGGAAGACUUUAGGUAAAACAUGACACAAGCUAACUCCAAAGAAGAGGUUGAUGGAUUUGGAAUAUCUCAUACUUGAUAACUUGUGAAUCAUGAAACAUGAACUCAAAUUAUCAAGAAUGACCUAACACCAUCUCAAAUGAUAAGAGAGAAACAAAUGCACUCCGAAUUACAAAAUGAAGAAAACUUGAGCUCCUCUGAAAAGAAUCUCGAUGAACACUUCGAGAAGGGAUUAAAUCCUUGAUGAACCACCAUGUAAAGCCUCCAUGAAGAACUCCGGUAACAAAAGGAUGAUCAAACGGAAGGAAAGAGAGGUUGAAAACACAAGGUGAAGCCUUGCCAAGAUUGGAUGAAGCUUUGCGACGAGAUAAAGUGGAAAAUUUUGAACUCCGGGAGAAAAGAUAACGCAACUUGAACCAAGAAUAUGAUAUGAUGAACCUCCGGAGUAAGAUAUUGAAUUUACCCGAUGAAACAAGAAUAAGAAUUACAUUAUGCUUAUCCUUCAUCAAUUAAAUUGAUGACAAACAAUGGAUUUGGCAUAUUACUUAUUCCUGUUGGAAAGGAUUGAUGAGAGAUAUAGCGUAAAUUGAGAAGGUCUUCCACAAACCACCGGUAGGAUUUGGAAAACAACAAAUUAGUUGAUAUGAUAACCAAGGAAGAGAGAUCUUGAGUGAAGCACCGUAUGAAUUGAAAAAAAUGAAUGAAGUAAAGGGAUGAAUCAUCGGUAAGAAUUAGAGAAUGAAUGAAGAUACUUGAGAUAAUUUAUAUGCAAGUGAACGAAGAGAUCCCGAACUGAUUUGAGAAAACUUGAAUGACGCACCAGUAAGAUUUGGAGAACGAGAGCUGAAAGCUUGAAUGAAUACUUCUGAGAUGAUGGGAUUUGGAGAAACAAUUUGAAAAUACUCUGAAUUGCACCAGAUAGGUGAAAAGAAUUAUCACGACCAAAAACAAUUAUGAGAGGACGGCAACAAAACUAGAGCCACGAAUCUUCAAGAGAACGGACCAAGAUUUAGAGGAAACACUUCUUCGGUCUUCAAAUGUAGAGAUUGACGAGGAGAAACGACACCAUGUGUGGUUGAGAUACUCCAGGAGAAUGAAUAUUAGAAAGGUUGAACCGACGAUGAAAAGAAUUUGAAAGAUCUUGGAGAAGGCAUUUGACUAAUGAUAAUUCAUUCUUACGUCAAACUUGGGAAAAGAAUUUGAAAAUAGCUCUGGUAAAAUUAGAAGAGUCAGGUAAGAUCCUGGGAAAGACCUGUGGGUUAGGGCCCACUCAAAAGAAACACCAUUGAACAAUUUAAAAGAGAGAUUGCAUCGGUUGAAAUAAAUGGCUUGAAUGAGGUAACAUCCUCAAAAUAUCUUGGACGGAAUGAUAAUGGAGACACAAAUCUUCUUAGAUAUUAUCAGCACUCCAGAACAAUUGAAUAGCGAGAAAUGUCUGAAUGUGAGGUGCACCGGCAUGAGAAGGUAUUUGAAGCAAGGAAAAAGGAUAUGAUCAACAAAGCUUGAAUUAAAUCCACCAGAGAAGAUAAAAGAAAUGAAGAAUGAUGAGCUUGAAGCUCCAUUAGAAUAUUCAGGAGAAUCCUCGGAUACGAACAUUGAAAGAAAAGAAUGGAGAGACUUCCAUCGAUAAAAUGGAUACUUGAAUAAGAAAUCCGAGUCUUGAAGAAAAAGGGUGGGAGGGUGAAAAAACAAAGACAACUUGGAGACGGAUGAAACAAACACCGUUGACGAAAAAUUUGAGUUGAUCUUGCGGAUGUUGAAAAUGAUCGGAUCCACUUGAAUAGAGACACCAGUUCAGAAGAAAUUGUGAUGGCAAACUCGAUGAUUAAGAAGGAUUGGUAUUCACAUAAAAAUACGAGAACAUCGCUGAGAAAAGGUAUGGAAUCAACACUUGACUUCGAAGCAACUCAAAUACCACAACUCAAACAAAACAAAGAUUGACUUGCAGAAUAAGCUGGAACAAACAUAUGAUAGAGAUUUCAUCUGAAGUUUUCAUGGUGGGGCCUACACGGGCUCGAUCGUACAGCACCAUCAUGUACAAGGCAGUGCACAUGGCAUACGAAGCGUCCCCGAGUCAGCAUAGCCAAGGACUCUUUAAGACACAACGAUAGGCGGACCACUAGACAUCGAACCCCAAUUUCAUAUCAUACAUCUGACGGAAAGAUAUCCUAAGAGCUACUUGAAUUCCCACUUAUAAACUAUCGAAACUUUCCGGUUAUGCAAUCGGUGUUGGGGAUACAGGGGAAGCAUAAUAUCUCACCCAAAACUAGGAAAUCCUACAUCCAGCUGUAUCCAUCCUUCAACACAUAACCAAGAAAUCUUCGGAAAUCAUUUACCUCAACCUUCAAAAAGCAUCCUUUAUAUGAGUUAUGGCAAUACUUACGAACUCUCGCCCCAGUACUGGGUGGCGUCGAGGUUAUCUCACCAACAAAUGCAUAAAAGAGAUUUUCGAUGUCGGCGAAACUCAGGUAUUCCAGAACUGCAACGAUAAAAUUGUGACGACAACACCUCGGAGCUCAACUCCCCGGGACACUGCCACAACCCCUAAAUGUCAGGAGGCACCAAGAACAAUGUUCUCAUCACAAAACCAUCGAAACGAUUCAAGAUACCCGUGUGAUCCUAAAUUUUUUUAGUGAAAUUUGAGAAGAGAAGAGUCAAAACUCUACAUCAAGAGACCUCACCAGAGCGACGAAGGGGCUGAGGAGUAAAAAGAAUCCUACUCUCCGAUAUAUAUAAUCCUAUUGUUGGAAAUAUGCCCUAGAGGCAAUAAUAAAUUGAUUAUUAUUAUAUUUCCUUGUUCAUGAUAAUCGUUUAUUAUCCAUGCUAGAAUUGUAUUGAUAGGAAACUUAGAUACAUGUGUGGAUACAUAGACAACACCAUGUCCCUAGUAAGCCUCUAGUUGACUAGCUCGUUAAUCAAUAGAUGGUUACGGUUUCCUGACCAUGGACAUUGGAUGUCGUUGAUAACGGGAUCACAUCAUUAGGAGAAUGAUGUGAUGGACAAGACCCAAUCCUAAGCCUAGCACAAGAUCAUGUAGUUCGUAUGCUAAAGCUUUUCUAAUGUCAAGUAUCAUUUCCUUAGACCAUGAGAUUGUGCAACUCCCGGAUACCGUAGGAGUGCUUUGGGUGUGCCAAACGUCACAACGUAACUGGGUGGCUAUAAAGGUACACUACGGGUAUCUCUGAUAGUGUCUGUUGGGUUGGCACGAAUCGAGAUUGGGAUUUUGUCACUCCGUGUAAACGGAGAGGUAUCUCUGGGCCCACUCGGUAGGACAUCAUCAUAAUGUGCACAAUGUGACCAAGGGGUUGAUCACGGGAUGAUGUGUUACGGAACGAGUAAAGAGACUUGCCGGUAACGAUAUUGAACAAGGUAUCGGUAUACCGACGAUCGAAUCUCGGGCAAGUAAAAUACCGCUAGACAAAGGGAAUUGUAUACGGGAUCGAUUGAGUCCUUGACAUCGUGGUUCAUCCGAUGAGAUCAUCGUGGAACAUGUGGGAGCCAACAUGGGUAUCCAGAUCCCGCUGUUGGUUAUUGACCGGAGAACAUCUUGGUCAUGUCUGCAUGUCUCCCGAACCCGUAGGGUCUACACACUUAAGGUUCGAUGAUGCUAGGGUUAUAAAGGAAGCUUGUAUGUGGUUACCGAAUGUUGUUCGGAGUCCCGGAUGAGAUCCCGGACGUCACGAGGAGUUCCGGAAUGGUCCGGAGGUAAAGAUUUAUAUAUAGGAAGUCCUGUUUCGGCCAUCGGGACAAGUUUCGGGGUCAUCGGUAUUGUACCGGGACCACCGGAAGGGUCCCGGGGGCCCACCGGGUGGGGCCACCUGCCCCGGGGGGCCACAUGGGCUGUAGGGGGUGCGCCUUGGCCUACAUGGGCCAAGGGCACCAGCCCCUAGAGGCCCAUGCGCCAAGAUAUAGGAAAAAGGGGAGAGUCCUAAAGGGGAAGGCACCUCCGAGGUGCCUUGGGGAGGAUGGACUCCUCCCCCCCUCUUAGCCGCACCCCUUCCUUGGAGGAAGGGGCAAGGCUGCGCCUCCCCCCUCUCCCCUGCCCCUAUAUAUAGUGGAGGGGAGGGAGGGCAUCCAUACCUGAGCCCUUGGCGCCUCCCUCCCUCCCGUGACACCUCCUCCUCUCCCGUAGGUGCUUGGCGAAGCCCUGCAGGAUUGCCACGCUCCUCCAUCACCACCACACCGUUGUGCUGCUGCUGGAUGGAGUCUUCCUCAACCUCUCCCUCUCUCCUUGCUGGAUCAAGGCGUGGGAGACAUCGUCGAGCUGUACGUGUGUUGAACGCGGAGGUGCCGUCCGUUCGGCACUUGAUCAUCGGUGAUCUGAAUCACGACGAGUACGACUCCAUCAACCCCGUUCACUUGAACGCUUCCGCUUAACGAUCUACAAGGGUAUGUAGAUGCACUCUCCUUUCUACUCGUUGCUGGUUUCUCCAUAGAUAGAUCUUGGUGACGCGUAGGAAAAUUUUGAAUUUCUGCUACGUUACCCAACAGUGGCAUCAUGAGCUAGGUCUAUUGCGUAGAUUCUUUGCACGAGUAGAACACAAAGUAGUUGUGGGCGUCGAUAUUGUUCAAUAUGCUUGCCGUUACUAGUCUUAUCUUGAUUCGGCGGCAUCGUGGGAUGAAGCGGCCCGGACCAACCUUACACGUACGCUUACGUGAGACCGGUUCCACCGACAAACAUGCACUAGUUGCAUAAGGUGGCUGGCGGGUGUCUGUCUCUCCCACUUUAGUCGGAUCGGAUUCGAUGAAAAGGGUCCUUAUGAAGGGUAAAUAGAAAUUGGCAUAUCACGUUGUGGUUCAUGCGUAGGUAAGAAACGUUCUUGCUAGAAACCCAUAGCAGCCACGUAAAACAUGCAAACAACAAUUAGAGGACGUCUAACUUGUUUUUGCAGGGUAUGCUAUGUGAUGUGAUAUGGCCAAAGAGGAUGUGAUGAAUGAUAUAUGUGAUGUAUGAGAUUGAUCAUGUUCUUGUAAUAGGAAUCACGACUUGCAUGUCGAUGAGUAUGACAACCGGCAGGAGCCAUAGGAGUUGUCUUUAUUUAUUUGUGACCUGCGUGUCAACUUAAAUGUCAUGUAAUUACUUUACUUUAUUGCUAACCGUUAGCCAUAGUAGUAGAAGUAAUAGUUGGCGAGGCAACUUCAUGAAGACACGAUGAUGGAGAUCAUGAUGAUGGAGAUCAUGGUGUCAUGCCGGUGACGAUGAUGAUCAUGGAGCCCCGAAGAUGGAGAUCAAAAGGAGCAAAGUGAUGAUGGCCAUAUCAUGUCACUAUUUGAUUGCAUGUGAUGUUUAUCAUGUUUAUACAUCUUAUUUGCUUAGAACGACGGUAGUAAAUAAGAUGAUCCCUUACAACAAUUUCAAGAAGUGUUCUCCCCUAACUGUGCACCGUUGCGACAGUUCGCUGUUUCAAAACAUCACGUGAUGAUCGGGUGUUUUAUUCAGACGUUCAAAUACAACGGGUGUUGACGAGCCUAGCAUGUACAGACAUGGCCUCGGAACACACGCGAAACACUUAGGGUUAACUUGACGAGCCUAGCAUGUACAGACAUGGCCUCGGAACACGGAGACCGAAAGGUCGAGCAUGAGUCGUAUAGAAGAUACGAUCAACAUGAAGAUGUUCACCGAUGAUGACUAGUCCAUCUCACGUGAUGAUCGGACACGGCCUAGUUUGACUCGGAUCAUGUAAUCACUUAGAUGACUAGAGGGAUGUCUAUCUGAGUGGGAGUUCAUAAGAUGAACUUAAUUAUCCUAAACAUAGUCAAAAGGUUUUUGCAAAUUAUGUCGUAGCUCACGCUAUAGUUCUACUGUUUAGAUAUGUUCCUAGAGAAAAAUUAGUUGAAAGUUGAUAGUAGCAAUUAUGCGGACUAGGUCCGUAAACUGAGGAUUGUCCUCAUUGCUUCAUAGAAGGCUUAUGUCCUUAAUGCACCGCUCAGUGUGCUGAACCUCGAACGUUGUCUGUGGUUGUUGCGAACAUCUGACAUACACGUUUUGAUAACUACGUGAUAGUUCAGUUAAACGGUUUAGAGUUGAGGCACCAAAGACGUUUUUGAAACAUCGCGAAACAUAUGAGAUGUUUUGAGGGCUGAAAUUGGGAUUUCAGGCUCGUGCCCAUGUCAAGAGGUAUAAGACCUCCGAUGACUUUCUUAACCUGCAAACUAAGGAGAAAAGCUCAAUUGUUGAGCUUGUGCUCAGAUUGUCCGAGUACAACAAUCAUUUGAAUCGAGUGGGAGUUGAUCUUCCAGAUAAGACAGUGAUGGUUCUCCAAAGUCAUUGCCACCAAGCUGUUAGAGCUUCAUGAUGAACUAUAACAUAUCAGGGAUAGAUAUGAUGAUCCUUGAGGUAUUCGCGAUGUUUGACACCGCGAAAGUAGAAAUCAAGAAGGAGCAUCAAUUGUUGAUGGUUGGUGAAACCACUAGUUUCAAGAAGGGCAAGGGCAAGAAGGGAUGCUUCAUGAAACGGCAAAUCAGCUGCUGCUCUAGUGAAGAAACCCAAGGUUGAACCCAAACCCGAGACUAAGUGCUUCUGUAAUAAGGGGAACAACCACUAGAGCAGAAUUACCCUAGAUACUUGGUAGAUAAGAAGGCUGGCAAGGUCGAUAGAAGUAUAUUGGAUAUACAUUGUGUUAAUGUGUACUUUGCUAGUACUCCUAGUAGCACCAGGGUAUUAGAUACCGGUUCGGUUGCUAAGUGUUAGUAACUCGAAACAAAAGGCUACGGAAUAAACGGAGACUAGCUAAAGGUGAGCUGACGAUAUGUGUUGGAAGUUUUUCCAAGCUUGAUAUGAUCAAGCAUCGCACGCUCCCUCUACCAAAGAGAUUGGUGUUAAACCUAAAUAAUUGUUAUUUGGUGUUUGCGUUGAGCAUAGACAUGAUUGGAUUACGUCUAUCGCAAUACGGUUAUUCAUUUAAGGAGAAUAAUGGUUACUCUGUUUAUUUGAAUAAUACCUUCAAUGGUCUUACACCUAAAAUGAAUGGUUUAUUAAAUCGCGAUCGUAGUGAUACACAUGUUCAUGCCAAAAGAUAGUAAUGAUAGUACCACCUACUUGUGGCACUGCCACGUAAGUCAUAUCGGUAUAAAACGCAUGAAGAAGCUCCAUAUUGAUGGAUCUUUGGGCUCACUCGUUUUUGAAAAGUUUGAGACAUGCGAACCAUGUCUAUUGGUGUAUAUGCAUGAAGAAACUCCAUGCAAAUGGACCGUUUUGACUCACUUGAUUUUGAAUCACUUGGGACAUGCAAAUCAUACCACACGGGCAAGAUGACUGAAAAGCCUCGUUUUCAGUAAGAUGGAACAAGAUAGCAACUUGUUGGAAGUAAUACAUUUUGAUGUGUACAGUCCAAUGAGUGCUGAGGCAUGUAGUGGAUAUUGUUAUGUUCUUACUUCACAGAUAAUUUGAGUGGAUGUUGAGUACAUUUACUUGAUGAAUCAUGAGUCUGAAUUAUUGAAAGGUUCAAGUAAUUUCAGAGUGAAGUAGAAGAUCAUUGUGACAAGAGGAUAAAAUGUCUAUGAUACGAUCAUAGAGAUGAAUAUCUGAGUUACGAGUUUUGGCACACAAUUAAGACAUUGUGGAAAAUGUUUCACAAUUAAUACCGCCUGGAACACCAUAGUGUGAUGGUGUGUCCGAACAUCAUAGUUGCACCCUAUUGGAUAUGGUGCGUACCAUGAUGUCUCUUAUCGAAUUACCACUAUCGUUCAUGGGUUAGGCAUUAGAGACAACCACAUUCACUUUAAAUAGGGCACCACGUAAUUCCGUUGAGAUGACACCAUAUGAAUUAUGGUUUAGAGAAACCUAAGUUGUCGUUUCUUAAAAGUUUGGGGCUACGACGCUUAUGUGAAAAAGUUUCAGGCUGAUAAGCUAGAACCCAAAGCGGAUAAAUGCAUCUUCAUAGGACACCCAAAACAGUUGGGUAUACCUCCUGUCUCAGAUCCAAAAGCAAUAAAGGAUUGUUUCUUGAGUCAGGUCCUUUCUCGAGGAAAGGUUUCUCUCGAAAGAGUUGAGUGGGAGGAUGGUGGAGACUUGAUAUGGUUAUUGAACCAUCACUUCAACCAGUGUGUAUCAGGGCACAGGAAGUUGUUCAUGUGGCACCUACACCAAUUGAAGUAGAAGCUUAUGAUAAUGAUCAUGAAGUUUCGGAUCAAGUCACUGCCGUACCUCGUAGGAUGACAAGGAUGCGUACUACUUCAGAGUGGUACGUAAUCCUGUCUUGGAAGUCAUGUUGCUAGACAACAAUGAACCUACGAGCUAUGGAGAAGCGAUGGUGGGCCCGGAUUCCGAUAAAUGGCUCAAGGCCAUAAAACCCGAGAGAGGAUCCAUGUAUGAAAACAAAGUGUAGACUUUGGAAGAACUACUUGAUGGUCGUAAGGCUGUUAGGUACAUAUGGAUUUUGAAAGGAAGACAGACAAUGAUGGUAAGUGUCACCAUUGAGAAAGCUCGACUUGUCGUUAAGAUGUUUUUCGACAAGUUCAAGGAGUUGACUGCGAUGAGACUUUCUCACUCGUAGCGAUGCUAAGAGUCUGUUGGAAUUAUAUUAGCAAUUACUGCAUUAUUUAUGAAAUCUUGCAAAUAGGAUGUCAAAACAUUGUUUCCUCGACGAUGCUUGAGGAAAGGUUGUAUGUGAUACAACCGGAAGGUUUUGUCUAUCCUGAAAUAUGCUAAUAAGUAUGCAAAGCUCCAGCAAUCCUUCUGAGGACUGGAGUGAGCAUCUCGGAGUUGGAAUGUAUGCUUUGAUGAUGAUCAAAGAUUUUGGGUGUAUACAAAGUUUAUGAGAAACUUGUAUUUCCAAAGAAGUGAGUGGGAGCACUAUAGAAUUUCUGAUGAGUAUAUGUUGUUGACAUAUUAAUGAUCAGAAAUGACGUAGAAUUUCUGGAAAGCAUAUAGGGUUAUUUGGAAAGUGUUUUCAAUGGAAAACCUGGAUUAAGCUACUUGAACAUUGAGCAUCAAGAUCUAUAAGGAUAGAUCAAAACGCUUAAUAGUACUUUCAAAUGAGCACAUGCCUUGACGUGAUCUUGAAGGUGUUCAAGAUGGAUAAGUCAAAGAAGGAGUUCUUGCCUGAGUUGUAAGGUAUGAAGUUAAGACUUAAAGCUCGACCAUGGCAGAAUAGAGAGAAAGGAACGAAGGUCGUCCCCUAUGCUUAAAACAUAGGCUCUACAGUAUGCUAUGCUGUGUACCGCACCUGAAGUAUGCUUUACCAUGAGUCAGUCAAGGGGUACAAGAGUGAUCCAAGAAUGGAUCACAGGACAGCGGUCAAAGUUAUCCUUAGUAACUAGUGGACUAAGGAAUUUUCUCAAUUAUGGAGGUGGUAAAAGAGUUCGUCGUAAAGGGUUACGUCGAUGCAAGCUUAACACCUAUCCGGAUAGCUCUGAGUAGAGAUACCGGAUACGUAUAAUGGAGCAACAAUUUAGAAUAGCUCCAAGUAGAACAGUUAUUUGGAAUAGCUCGAAAUAGAACGUGGUAGCUGCAUCUAGGAGAUGACAUAGAGAUUUGUAAAGCACACACGGAUCUGAAAGGUUCAAACCCGUUGACUAUAACCUCUCUCACAAGCAUAACAUGAUCAAACCCAGAACUCAUCGAGUGUUAAUCACAUGGUAAAUGUGAACUAGAUUAUUGACUCUAGUAAACUCUUUGGGUGUUAGUCACAUGGGGAUGUGACCUUGAGUGUUAAUCACAUAUCGAUGUGAACUAGAUUAUUGACUCUAGUGCAAGUGGGAGACUGUUGGAAAUAUGCCCUAGAGGCAAUAAUAAAUUGAUUAUUAUUAUAUUUCCUUGUUCAUGAUAAUCGUUUAUUAUCCAUGCUAGAAUUGUAUUGAUAGGAAACUUAGAUACAUGUGUGGAUACAUAGACAACACCAUGUCCCUAGUAAGCCUCUAGUUGACUAGCUCGUUAAUCAAUAGAUGGUUACGGUUUCCUGACCAUGGACAUUGGAUGUCGUUGAUAACGGGAUCACAUCAUUAGGAGAAUGAUGUGAUGGACAAGACCCAAUCCUAAGCCUAGCACAAGAUCAUGUAGUUCGUAUGCUAAAGCUUUUCUAAUGUCAAGUAUCAUUUCCUUAGACCAUGAGAUUGUGCAACUCCCGGAUACCGUAGGAGUGCUUUGGUUGUGCCAAACGUCACAACGUAACUGGGUGGCUAUAAAGGUACACUACGGGUAUCUCUGAAAGUGUCUGUUGGGUUGGCACGAAUCGAGAUUGGGAUUUUGUCACUCCGUGUAAACGGAGAGGUAUCUCUGGGCCCACUCGGUAGGACAUCAUCAUAAUGUGCACAAUGUGACCAAGGGGUUGAUCACGGGAUGAUGUGUUACGGAACGAGUAAAGAGACUUGCCGGUAACGAGAUUGAACAAGGUAUCGGUAUACCGACGAUCGAAUCUCGGGCAAGUAAAAUACCGCUAGACAAAGGGAAUUGUAUACGGGAUCGAUUGAGUCCUUGACAUCGUGGUUCAUCCGAUGAGAUCAUCGUGGAACAUGUGGGAGCCAACAUGGGUAUCCAGAUCCCGCUGUUGGUUAUUGACCGGAGAACAUCUCGGUCAUGUCUGCAUGUCUCCCGAACCCGUAGGGUCUACACACUUAAGGUUCGAUGACGCUAGGGUUAUAAAGGAAGCUUGUAUGUGGUUACCGAAUGUUGUUCGGAGUCCCGGAUGAGAUCCGGGACGUCACGAGGAGUUCCGGAAUGGUCCGGAGGUAAAGAUUUAUAUAUAGGAAGUCCUGUUUCGGCCAUCGGGACAAGUUUCGGGGUCAUCGGUAUUGUACCGGGACCACCGGAAGGGUCCCGGGGGCCCACCGGGUGGGGCCACCUGCCCCGGGGGGCCACAUGGGCUGUAGGGGGUGCGCCUUGGCCUACAUGGGCCAAGGGCACCAGCCCCUAGAGGCCCAUGCGCCAAGAUAUAGGAAAAAGGGGAGAGUCCUAAAGGGGGAAGGCACCUCCGAGGUGCCUUGGGGAGGAUGGACUCCUCCCCCCUCCUUAGCCGCACCCCUUCCUUGGAGGAGGGAGCAAGGCUGCGCCUCCCCCCUCUCCCCUGCCCCUAUAUAUAGUGGAGGGGAGGGAGGGCAUCCAUACCUGAGCCCUUGGCGCCUCCCUCCCUCCCGUGACACCUCCUCCUCUCCCGUAGGUGCUUGGCGAAGCCCUGCAGGAUUGCCACGCUCCUCCAUCACCACCACACCGUUGUGCUGCUGCUGGAUGGAGUCUUCCUCAACCUCUCCCUCUCUCCUUGCUGGAUCAAGGCGUGGGAGACAUCGUCGAGCUGUACGUGUGUUGAACGCGGAGGUGCCGUCCGUUCGGCACUUGAUCAUCGGUGAUCUGAAUCACGACGAGUACGACUCCAUCAACCCCGUUCACUUGAACGCUUCCGCUUAACGAUCUACAAGGGUAUGUAGAUGCACUCUCCUUUCUACUCGUUGCUGGUUUCUCCAUAGAUAGAUCUUGGUGACGCGUAGGAAAAUUUUGAAUUUCUGCUACGUUACCCAACACUUAUAAGACUCAAAACGUUUUUCUAGACUCAACAACGCCAGUGAUUCGAUCAAGCAGGGGGCUCCUAAGUCGGGGAAGGCUCUGAUUACCAACUUGUAACGCCCACGAUGCGGUUAUAUCUCCCACGUGUCGAAGCACGACUUAGAGGCAUAACCGCGUUGUAAGCAAUGUCGCAAGAGGGGUAAUCUUUACACAUCCCAUGUACUGAAUAAGGAAAGAGAUACAUAGUUGGCUUACAAUCGCCACUUCACACAAUACAUGAAUAAAGCAAUACAACAUCCAGAUACAAUCAAGGUCCGACUACGGAACCAAAAUAGAAGAAGGCCACCCCUAAUGCUACAGAUCCCCGAUCGUCCCAACUGGGCUCCACUACUGAUCAACUGGAAAUGAAACAACAUAAUGAACGAGAUCUUCAUCGAGCUCCUCCUUGAGCUCGGUUGCGUCACCUGCACGGUAUCAUCGGCACCUGCAAAAUGGUUUUGGAAGUAAAUCUAUGAGUCACGGGGACUCAGCAAUCUCACACCCUCGCGAUCAAGACUAUUUAAGCUUAUGGGUAGGGUAAAGGUAUGAGGUGGAGCUGCAGCAAGCACUAGCAUAUAUGGUGGCUAACAUACGCAAAUGAGAGCGAGAAGAGAAGGCAAAGCACUUUCGAGAAUCUAUGAUCAAGAAGUGAUCCUAGACUACUUACGUUCAAGUAUAACUCCAAUACCGUGUUCACUUCCCGGACACCGCCGGAAAGAGACCAUCACGGCUACACACGCGGUUGAUGCAUCUUAGUUAAGUUAAGUGUCAAGUUCUCUACAACCGGACAUUAACAAAUUCCCAUCUGCGCAUAACCGCAGGGCACGGCUUUCGAAAGUUCAAAACCCUGUAGGGUGUCCCAACUUAGCCCAUCACAAGCUCUCACGGUCAACGAAGUAUAUUCCUUCUCCCAGGACGGCCCGAUCAGACUCGGAAUCCCGGUUACAAGACAUCUCGACAAUGGUAAAACAAGUCCAGCAAAGCCACCCGAAUGUGCCAACAAAUCCCGAUAGGAGCUGCACAUAUCUCGUUCUCAGGGCACACCGGAUAAGCAAUCCAUACAACUAAAACCAGCCCUCGAGUUUUCCCGAGGUGGCGCUGCAAGGAGCUCUAGUUUCGGACCAACACUUAGAGAAGUACUGGCCCGGGGGGGUUAAAUAAAGAUGACCCUUGAGUCUGCAGAACCCAAGGGAAUGUGGUAGGUUGUUAGUGCGAAUGGUAAAACCAAGGUUGGGCCUUGCUGGAAGAGUUUUAUUCAAGGUGAACUAUCAAGGGGUUCCCAUUAUAACCCAACCAUGUAAGGAAGGCAAAAUAAAGGAACAUAACACCGGUAUGACGGAAACUAGGGCGGCAAGAGUGGAACAAAACACCAGGCAUAAGGCCAAGCCUUCCACCCUUUACCAAGUAUAUAGAUGCAUUAAUUAAAUAAGAGAUAUUGUGAUAUCCCAACAAAAUAUCCAUGUUCCAACAUGGAACAAACUCCAUCUUCACCUGCAACUAGCAACGCUAUAAGAGGGGCUGAGCAAAGCGGUAACAUAGCCAAACAACGGUUUGCUCGGACAAGGUGGGUUAGAGGCUUGACAUGGCAAUAUGGGAGGCGUGAUAAAUCAUGUGGUAGAUAUCGCGGCAUAGGCAUAGCAAUAGAGCGAGCAACUAGCAAGCAAAGAUAGAAGUGAUUCGAGGGUAUGGUCAUCUUGCCUGAGAUCCUGCAAGGAAGAAGAACGAGUCCCUGAAGCAGACAAGCGGACGUAGUCGAACGGAUCCUCACAAACACGAUGUUAACGGAACUAACCCGAAGAAGCGACACCGAAAAGAAGCAAACAACAUAUUAAACAACCACCACAUAAACAUGGCAUGAUGCACAAUCAAGUAUGAUGCAUGUCCGGUUUAAUGCGGCAUGGCAUGGAAAAGUGCACAAACAAUUCUACAAAUUAAGUGGAGCUCAAUAUGCAACGAGUUGCAUAUUGACGGAACACCACAUUAAUUAUUUAGUUCUCUCCUGGUUAGGUACUCAACAAAUUUUAACGUUGGUUAACAUGGCAAGAGGUGAAGCAUAACAAAACUAUACUAUCUAAACAAUUUAAAUGGGGCCGAAUAUAACAAACAACAAUUCCGGUAAAACCCCACAUGCAUUUAGCAAUUUAAAGCAAACAACAAAUUUAAACAUAUUAAAUGUUAUUAUCAUGAUGUGGAUGGCAUGUGCAAGAUUAUGCAAAUUUUAUGAAAAAUUUGACAUGAGCAUGAUAUGAAGCAUUUUGUCAUCAUGGCGGAAAUGAAAGGGGUGCCACGGCAACGACAACGGAAAUGGUGCCACAGCAACAUUCCGGUUCCGGUAGCUCAUGGAGAUAUCGAUGCAAAGGAGAAGUGUGCGGAUGCGUGCAAAAUAUGGUGGGGCGCUCCCGGAUUCCGGGUGUCCCACGAGUUGGCGUUAAGGAAACGAGUGACAAUUUGGACACGGUGCAAACUCGAGCAUCUCAAACAUCGCAAGCAUUCGUUCAUGGACAUCGUCUCGAGGUUAUACCUUCGAAGCGUGCAAGCGGGACAGUUCUCGUUCGGUGCAAAGUAGAGGAAGUAGACGUUCUCGCGACGACUCGCGAUCUCGGCGACGGUAGUGGUACAUGUUUAUCGUUGCAUGAGUUUCCAUAGACGUUCAUGUCAUCGGUGUCGUGGUACUUGGGGUCUUCGGACUUUCCGGUCCCGUUCUCGCGAUGGUAGUCAUUCACAUUCGACAUCGGGGUACUUGUCGGUCCGGUCUUGGCGGCGUAGAUGUACACGUUGUCGGGGUACUUGUCGCAUCAUCGGGUGUAGUUGUACAUGAGGGUCUUGACGAAUCCGAAGGGGUACUUGAAGGGUCCGGUCUUGGCGAUUUAGGUUUCGUAGUGUCCUGGUACUUGACGCUUGGGAUUGAUUCCACGGUUGCAUGCAUCCACGGCAACACAGCGCAGAUGCAAAGAGGCAACGACUUGGCGCGGUUCCGGUGGUCGAACAAGGCAGGGCAGUUCGGCCACGCGCGCUGCGAGCGGCAGAGGACAAGCAGAGGAGCAGCAGCGCGAGGGAACGCAGCGACGUAGGCGAGGAGCAGCCCCAGCGGCGGAGCUCCAUGGGAGGCGACUUGGUCGGGCGCGGCGGCGUGGUGUAGCAAGGCGACGAGGAUGAGGCACUUCGGGGCAGCAAGGCGGAGGGCGGAGCAGAGGCGGUGUCUCCCUGUCGGAGAUGAAGAUGGCUCGGGCGGAGGUCGGGCCGGAGCUCCUGCUGGCAGCGAGGUCGAGGCGGGUUGGUGCCGCCGAGGAGAAGCAGGAGGAAGAGGUUGUCGCGGGAGGAAUUGGCACGGGGGAGCGAGGGAGAGGGCUCGGGGCUCCUCCCUGGCGCGUGAGGAAGGGAGCGAGAGUAGGGAGAGAUCGAUGGGGAUCGGGUCGAGGGGAGAGGGAGUCGGGUGCGAGCGAUCCUCUCCUGGCGGCGCUAGCAGAGAGACAAGGAGGAGGGGAUCGAGGGAGAGGGUUCGCUGCGCCUAGAUUUAGGUUAGGUUAGGUGGGCUGUUGGGCCUAGAGGCUGCAGGAGGCCUUAGGCCAAAAGGGCCGGUGCAGGAGGUUGGAGGCCCAGCUGGGGCCUGCAGUGCUACUAUAUUCUCUUCUCUUUUUCUUCAGACAAAAAAAUAAAGAGAAAUGCACAGGGUGAAAGGAGAGGUGUAUGAGAGAUAUGAGAAUAUCCUCAAGACCCUGGAAUUAUACCCUAUUUUGAUAAAUUGCUUUGGGCAAUUUUAAAGGUAGAACAUUAAACCAAGUUUGAAUCAACUUCAAACUUGAUGCAAUUUUGAACCCAGCCAAAACAACGUCAAAUGAGAUGAAAUUUGGCAGAGAGGUUGAAGGCAUGGUCGAGAAUUUAUAGGAAAAGAAUGGACAUUAAUAGAGAAUGGGAAAGUGGGACUUGCAAAAGAUAGGAAAAAGAAGGGAAGGAGAAGGAGAUGAUGCAUGGAACAAAGGCAUGGGGAAAUAUUUUGCAAAUGUGUCAAGGUAAUUCCACAUGAAUGGAAUAUUUUUAUAUAGCUCCCUAAUAUUGGGAGGAUAUGUUAUAAAGAGAAUCACCAUGUGAAUUCCCUCGAUUUAAAUGGACCGAAGAUCCAUGCAAUUUAUUUAGUUGAGUUUUAAAACGGGUUGCAUGAUGACAUGAUGCAAUGCACAUGAUGCAAGUAUGAAAAGCAACACGCAAGCAAAUGACAUGGCAACGACGGUGAAUAACUGGAAGAAACCUGGCGUAACGGUCUCGGGGCGUCACAGUAAAAGAGAUGAGUAUGGUGAUGAUGAUGGUGAUGUUGAUGGAGACGAUCACCACGGCGAUGAUUCGCCUCCCGAUGGCACUCUGGUGCCACCGAGAGAGAGGAGGAGAGGUUCUCCGCCUUGUACUUCCUCCUCCAUGGCCUCCCCCUGGAUGGGGAGAGGUUCUCCCUCUGGUCCUUGGCCUUCAUGGUGAUGAUGGCCCCUCCGGGAUCCUCCUCCACAGCCUCCGGCGAUGAUGGCCCCCUCCGGCAUGGUGCCAGAGAGGGCCUAGAUUGAUUUCUUGUGGCUACAGAGGCUUGCGGCGGCGGAACUUCCGAUCUAGGUUAUUUUUUGGAGGUUUGGGCAUUUAUAGGAGAGGUUGGUGUCGAGAACAAGUCAGGGGGGCCCACGGGAAGUCCAAGAGGCACAGGGGCACGCCCAAGGGGGGUGGGCGCGCCCCCACCCUCGUGGACCCCCGGGACUCCCCUCUGGUAGAUUUUUGUUCCAGUAUUUUUUAUAUUUUCCAGAAAAAUUCUCCAUUGGUUUUCAUCGCAUUCCCAGAACUUUUAUUUUUGCACAAAAACAACACCACGGUAGUUCUGCUGAAAAUAGCAUCAGUCCGGGUUUGUUCUAAUCAAAUCAUACCAAAAUCAUAUAAAACUAUUGUAAACAUGGCAUGAAUACUUCAUAAAUUAUAGAUACGUUGGAGACGUCUCACUGGACGAAAUCCCCCAGAGUUGCACUCGAUGGAGGAGCGACAAACCGAGGCGAGGGGAUCCCAUCCUCCUCGUCGGUAGCCAGUGCCUAGAGGCGGCUACCACGCCCGCCCCCCACCAGUCUCGAGGAAACCGCCGAGGCCGAGCAUGCCGGAGAACCACAGGAGCCCCGCCGAACCUGAAUCUACGCGCCCGCUGCUCCGAGAUAUGAGGGAGAGAGACAAGUCGCCGCCCACGUGCCCUCGGUCGCCUCCAACGGCUCUUUGAUUUCGAAACCCAUCUCGGUGUUGUGGUUACUGGUCAUGAAUCUUUUUCUUUCGGCAAUUGAUUUGCCUCUCUCUGUGUCAUUGGAGACUCAGUCCCCUUUUUUCUCAAACAAAUCUCAAGUAUGUACAUACACAACCAGCUGUCGUAGCCACUUGCGUGCCUCUAGCUCCAUCCAGCGCAGUUGAUCCGCUACACUCCUGGUCCUGGGGCCCUCUGGCAAGCGCCACUGCUGCACCCUCCCUUGAGCACCAUGUAUCUUGACGAGACCUCGCGAGAACAAGCCACCGCCAGCCUCCACACCAAGACUUAUCUCGCCGAAAAUUGUUGCUGGCCUGCCACAUAUUUGCUUCCACUGUUGUCGUGCGAGCUGCUGCCUCCCGAUUGCUUCUUCCAAUCUCAUCGUGAACCACGCCGCAACCGGCUACAUCUCAAAUUUGAUAGUUCCUCUAGAUCAACAGUCCACAGCCUCCUCAUAGCCUUGCUUUUAUACCACUUGUUAGAAUAAAUCCGAGGGCACCAUCAAUCAUCCGAGGACCAAACAAUCACACAAGGAUGACACCAAGAUUUCUUAACAAGGUUCACUGAUAUGGCUACAUCCCCGGGGCCUGACUAUGGGCGCUCCUCCCCAUGAUACCGCUACAAUACCGCACUCGGUCGCCCUGGACGCCGGCACAUGCCGUUGGCUUCCCCUGCAUUCCUGUGCUAUUAUGUUGGCAUAGGUUACAUCAUGUGUCUACCCUCGCUAUAUAUGAGAGGCCUAGGAUACAAGUGUCCUACUAGGACACGACUCCAUAUCCUAUCUAAACACUAUACUACUGAGAGUCCAACUGUAACCUACCUAGUACAGUAUACUCGACGCGACUCUAACAUUAGUCCUGCUUUCGCUUGAGGACAAACGAGGUCUAAGCUUGGGGUAGUUGAUACGUCCAUUUUGCAUAUUUUUUCCUACUGAUAUUUAUAAUGUUUUUGGUCAUUAUUUCACUUUAGGAUGAAAUUCUAAUGUCUUUUCUCUUUAUUUGCAAGAUCUACAUGAACAGGGAAAUUACCGGCAGCUGGAAUUCUGGACCUAGAAGAGCUACAACAGAGAUAACUAUUCUAUGGAACUCCAAAUUACCUAAAAUUUUAUGGAGAUUUUUUGUUGAAUAUAAAAAAAUAAUGGAACGAAGAACCACCAGAGGGGGGCCACCUGCUGCUCACAAGGUAAUAGGGCGCUCCCUGGUGCCUUCUGAGGCCCACAGCGGCCCUUCGGUUCCCUCUUUUUGCUCUAUGAGGCCUUUUGCCCAAGAAAAAAAUAUAAGCAAAGACUUUCGGGAUGACGCGCCGCCAUCUCGAGGCAGAACCUAGGCAGGAGCACUUUUGCUCUCGGUGGAGCGAUUUCACCGUGGAUACUUCCCUCUAGGGUGAUCGAAGUCAUCGACAUCAUCAACGAUCCUCCCCGUCGUGUGAGGAUAAAUCUUCAUCAACAUCUUUAUAAGCACCAUCUCCUCUCAAACCCUAGUUUAUCACUUGUAUUCAAUCUUUCUCCCAAAACCUAAUAUUGGUACCUGUGGGUAGCUAGUACGGUUGACUACAUCUUGUAGUUGAUGCUAGUUGGUUUAUUUGGUUGAAGAUUAUAUUUUUAGAUCCUUAAGCAUACACAAUACACCCCUGAUAUUGAAUAUGAAUAUGAUUUGUAAGUAGUUACUUUUGUUCUUGAGGUCAUGGGAGAAGUCUUGUUAUACGUAAUCAUGUGAAGUUGGUAUUUGUUUAAUAUUUUAAUGAUAUAUAUGUUGUUGUUCCUUUAGUUGUGUCAUGUGAACAUCGACUACAUGACACUUCAUCAUACUUGGGCCUAAGAGAAGACAUUGGGGAUUAAUAAGUAGAUGAUGCGUUGUGAUGGUGACAGAAGCUCAAACCCUAGUUUAUGCAUUACUCCGUAAGGGGCUGAUUUGGAUCAAUAUGUUUUAUACUAUGGUUCGAUUUAUCUCAAUUCUUCUUUCGUACUUGCGGAUGUUUGCGAGAGGGGGUAAUCAUAAGAGGGUUGCUUGUUCAAGUAAGAACCGCACCCUAGCACCGGUCCACCCACAUAUCAAAUUAUCGAAGUAGUGAAUGUGAAUCAACUAAACAUGAUGAACGUGACUAGACAUGAACUCCCAUGUGGCCUCAAGAACGCUUUGCUCAUUAUAAGAAGUACCUUCAUCUUGUCCUUUGCUAUAAACAAGAUUGGACGACUGCUACUUGUGAGCUCCGUUGGAAUUUCCUUGAAGAGGAGAGGGUAAAGCAGUACAGUAGAGAUAAGUAUUCCUCUCAGUUAAGAACCAAAGUUAUCAAUCCAGUAGGAGAACCACGCAAAUUCUCUUUAGCGGUACCUACACACAGAAAAGCAAAUACUUGCACCCAACGCAAACAAGGGGGUUGUAAACUCCGUAGGCGGUUAAUUGUAAGGAUCAAAUCUUGUAGUGGUAGAUAGAUAAAGUAAAAUACAAAAAUAAAAAGAACAUAAAAUAAAUUGCAAUAAGAUAUUUUUGGAUUUUAUAUAUGAUAAAAAUAGACCCGGGGGGUCAUAGUUUUCACUAGAGGCUUCUCUCUUGAAUAUAUCAUACGGUGCGUAAGCAAAUUACUAUUGGACAAUUGAUAGAAAAGCGCAUACUUACGAUGAUAUUCAAAGCAAUGAUCAUGCAUAUAGGCAUCAUGUCUGAGACAAGUAGACCGACUCCUGCCUGCAUCUACUACUAUUACUCCACCCAUCGACCGCUAUCCGGCAUGCAUCUAGAGUAUUAAGUUAAUUAAAACAGAGUUACGCCUUAAGCAAGAUGACAUGAUGUAGACAAAGUAAACCCAAUCAAUAUGAAUAAACCCCAUAUUUUUAUCCUUAAUGGCAAUGAUACAAAUACGUAUCAUGUACCUUUCGGUCACUGGGAUUGAGCACCGCAAGAUCGAACUCAUUAGAAAGAACCUCUCUCAUUGCAAUAUAAAUCAAUCUAGUUGGCCAAACCAAAAGGAUCGAUUGGAGAGAAAUAGAAAUCUAUAAAAAUCAUGCAUAUAAGAAUUCAGAAAAGACUCAAAUAAUAUUCAUGAAUAAUCUGAUCAUAAACCCAAAAUUCAUCGGAUCCUAACAGACACACCGGAAAAGAAGAUUACAUCAAAUAGAUCUCCAAGAAUAUCAAGAACAUUGUAUUAAAGAUCAAAGAGAGAGAGGAAGCCAUCUAGCUACCAGCUAUGGACCUGUAGGUCGAUGGUGAACUACUGACGCAUCAUCAGAAGGGUAGUAAGGUUGAUGUAGAAGCCCUCCAUGAUCGAUUCCCCUUUGGCAGAGUAGCAGAGAAGGCCUCUAGAUGGGAUCACGGAAUAACAGAGGCUUGCGGCAGCAGAAAAAGUGUUUUGGUGUCUCUCUGAUGUAUUGGGAAUAUUUGGGAGUUUAUAGAAGUGGAAUUAGGUCAAGAGGUGCCACGAGGGGACCACAAGCAUGCGUCCUGCAAGCUUGUCGCUCCCUCAUGGCUCUGCAGGUCUUCUCUCGAAGCUUCUAGACUCCCUUCUGGUCCAGAAAAAAUCUUCAAAAAGUUUCGUAGCAUUUGGACUCCAUUUGGUACUAAUUUUCUGAAAAUCCAAAAACAAGCAAAAAAACAGCAACUAGCACUGGGCACUAGGUUAAUAGACUAGUCCCAAAAAUGAUAUAUAAUUGCAUAUAAAACAUCCAAGACUUAUACUAUAAUAGCAUGGAAUAAAAAAAAUAGAUACGUUGGAGACGUAGCAGCCACCUUGAUGCACUCUUGUUCCUAUUGUUACUUGUUACUUGUUAUGAAUUACCUCACUGCAAAACUAUCAGUUAUCACUACUUACAUCAAUUGCAAAUAAUACCUUGCUGAAAACCGCUUGUUAUUUCCUUCUGCUCCUCGUUGGGUUCGACACUCAUACUUAUCGAAAGGACUACUAUUGAUCUCCUAUGCUUGUGGGUCAUCAACGGCGACGGCGAGGAAGAGGCGAUGAUGGCAGUGAUGAGAGCGAUAUGGGGGAAGAGUGACUGAGUGAGAGUGAAGUGGAGGAAGGGUGCGUGCGUGCAGAUAGAGUUCUUCUAGUGCGAUGGGCGCACCGAACGACCCGCCACUGCUACUUUGGGGUGGUGGGCAGCAAACUUUGAGUUGAAUUUUCAUAGACCACAACUUACGUGUGGUGGGCACAAAAUGGUGCCCGCCACAGCUAAUAUCUGGCUAGUUUUUUUUGUGCCGGUUGUAAGCGUUUAUCUUUGGUGGGGCGUGUGUCGUGCCCGCUACUGCUUCCUUGAGGACUAUUGGCGGGUCUGAAUUAUCACCCGUCAUUGUUAGCAUUCAUCACGUGGUCAUAUUCAGAAGUGCCUACUUGUGGCGGGUCUGAACUUUUGCCGGCCACUUCUGUGUCUACAACUCUGGUGGGUGUAUUAUGGCAUCAACACUACUACUUUUCCUAACUAGUAAUGGCGGGUGUCUAGUCGCGCCCACCACUCAUUUGAGUUCACCUAUAAGGAUUUUCCCACUAGUGUCUGCACCACCGCAACCAGAGGGCCCGCCGGCGAAGCCGUGUUCCGCCCCAUGAUGGUAGUGGCGGAGUGGCCCUGACACUGGAGCACUGCGCCGCCUACUCUGCCCCCGCCCCGAUGCGAUCUGGAGGCGCCCCUUCGGACCGAGUGUGACGUCCUCCGGCCGGUCUGUCGUGGCGGUUGGGCGCGCCCUCUAUUCUGUAACUCACCCUAGCUUGAGCUUCGAGUCGGCCUCCCGGGGUGGUGGCCAUGGGGCUGUUUGGUUGUGCCCGGCGGCGGCAGCUUCGUGCAGCAUGUCGGCUGAGAAGUUGGUUGCGCGUGAGCUCUUCAUCACCCCCGCAAGGGCGGAUGCAGUCCGGCGGCCAUGGACCCCUCCCGCGUCUAUGGUCGGCCGGGCGGCUUCGGAUCCAGUACGCCCCAGGAGUUAUGCUCUUUCCGGCUCCUUCGGCAUGCUGGCACCUUGGUGUCUCCGCACCCCCACACUACUAGUGUCAUUGGUUGGCCGUCCAUCCCGGAAUAUCUUCAAUUCCGACACACUUUGGGAGUUGCGUCUCCUUCCAACUCCUUGGACUCGUCGGAGUCCCUGCUGCUCCAGUGCCGAGGUCCUGAAUAUGUGCUCCCUUCCAGAUCCGGGCUCGUCUAGGUUUACGGCUAUCGUCAUGCCCCCACUGCCUCUCUUCCGCCUAGACACCCAACCUCGCCCACCUCCGUGACCCGUCCGUCCUUCCGCCUGAUCGGGAGCUCGCACGCCUGGCGCUACGAUGUGCCUCCUUCGGCGGCGGGCAUGGCUCCCCUUCCCGAGGUCGUGGCUCCGGCCAACAUCCACUUCUUCUUCUCUGUUUCGUGCUUCGAUGGCUUGUGAUUGCUCGGACUCAGGCUAGGGUGAAAUUCCUGCAUCCUAUGCUGGCAGAGGCGACUCCCAUGGGUGUCGUCCCCUUCUUGGAGGCGGUGCUAUGGCCAUUAUAUGUGCCAUUCUUCGAGCAUCAGGGGAAACCCUAGGCCCGGUUUAUCUGGAUUGGACGGUGACGACGUCUCUGUGUCGUUCUCCUUCGUGAAGGCGAUGUCUUAUUUGCUCGCGGCGUCCUCGAUUCUGAAUUUGGAGACGUUGAUCGUCUAGUUGUUGGUUUGGGCUUAUUCUUACUACGAUGAGUAUAACUGUGUUUUUUUUUCUGUUUGGGCUGAGCAUCACAAGUCUCUAUGCUUCGAGCACUAUGUACCAUGUUCACGCAUCUUACGGUUUGUGCCUUGUGUUGUACUAACUCUUGUACUCGCUCUAAUUUCUUCUAUCAAUGAAAUGAUGCGUAAGCUCUGCAUUUUCAUGGAAAAAUUUAUAACACGCUAAAUUCAGUUAAAUGGCUUAGUGCGACAUCCGAACAAAUGCACUGAGAUAGCACGCUAUUUAAAACUAUACUUUUUUAGAAGAGUUUACAACGGAAACCAUUUUCUUGAAGGAAUCUGUGAUAUCUUUAUAGGUUGUUCCAGUCACAUGUCUGGGCCAGAUUCGACUGGUCAUGUUUUUAACUGUAUCUUCACACUUCCCAGUAUUAUACAUACGUUCAGGGUUCUUGAUCGAGAUAAUAUCACCGAUAGUCAUAAAAUUUGCUCUUAAUGUUCAGUUUGAUGCUAAAACUUUGAAAAUGCGGAAUUGCAGUCACUUAACUUGACUCAAGCGUACACAUAUGGUCACAAAAUACGUUUCAGGUGUAUCCGUACAUAUGGGCCCUUCUGUCAGGGACUGAUAGCAAACGCUCAUAUACACGCGCAUACACUCACCCUACCCCUAUGAGCACAUUCGAAAGACUGAGCCGACGUAUCAUCUUGAAAUUUACGAAGUCACCAUAGACACCUCGUCAUCGACGGGAACGUCUCCGCCCACUGAAUGCGCAUCACCAGAAAUGCUGAAAUAAAUCGACGAAUAAAUGUGAGCACCAGGACUUGAAUCCUGGUGGGCUGGGGAUGCCACAGUCCCUCCAACAAUCCAAUCACAGACUGGUUCGCAUAUUUGAGGUAUACAAGUUUAAAUGUAUUUAACAAUGUCCCACUAGUUACAAAUAACUAAGGUCGUCAGGUCUAACCGAAGACAACAUGGUAAUACAUUCGCCCUAGCCACUACAACAUCCACCUGUACAACUUUAAAGGGGAUAACUUGUCUUAAUCUACUAGAACAAACUCGAUCGUGGAGUUGAAAGCCCAUUUGUGACUAUUCGUUUUUUAUAGAAAUUUGUAGAUAUUACGUAAAUUAUAAUUUUAGUAAUAAAUAAAUCUUUAAAUAUUCAUGUGUUAUAAAUAUUUUACAUACAAAUGAAAUAACCUACUUUAAAAAUUGUUCAUGUAUUAUUUUAAAAUAUUCAUAUAUUUAAAAUAACAUUUAUGAAUUGUAAAAAUGUUUGUAUAACUAAAAGAAUUCAAUAUUUAAAAUUAAAAUGUUUAUAUGAAUAGUCAAUCAUGUUUAAUAUUUAAAUUAUAUAAUUUCUUCAAUACAAGCCAUGAGUAAAAAUUAUACACAAGUUAAUAUUCAUGACAUUUUAGUAAAUGUUUGUAUUCAUCAUUUUGUGCAGUUUAAAUAUAAGACAUGAGUGUAUAAUUUUGCAUGGAUUCAUUAAACAUAUUUAUUUAAUAAAAAAUGCAAUGUCCAUAUUAACUAAUUUUUUUAUAUAAUACACAGGUCUAUAUUUAGUAAUGAUCAUUUGUAUGUACGCUAUUUUUUAACACACAAGUCUUUGACCAUGAUUUUAUUACUUAUGUUUUACAAAUAUCUUUAAAAAAUUGACAUAUGCUAUACUUAAUAUAUUUUUGUAUAAUACACAAGGUUAUAUUCAAAUGUUUUUAUUUACUAAUCAUCGUCCAUAUGUAUAUUAUGCACAACACCCAAAUAUUUGGACAUAACUUUUAUUAUUUACGUUCGCAAAUACACUACUAGAAAAAGGCCUAUUAGUGGCGCACCUGUUUUGCCUACUAAUGGCGCACUACAGGUGUGUCACUAGUAUCACGCCAUUAGUAUUUUUACUAAUGGCGCACCAUGCCGUGCGCCAUUAGUAUAGCCCACGGUGCGCCAUUAGUAUGUCUCCCAGGGGGCCAUAUUUACCCAUGUGCUUUGGCAUACUAAUGGCGCACUAGUGGAUGAUGCGCCAUUAGUCUUUUUUGUAGUGCGCCAUUAAUGUGCCACUAGUAUGAAUAUUAGGGAUUUUUUUCUUCUGAUAUUUGCACAGGUUACAAAACAUAUUACUGCACAUAAUAUAAAGAGCACAACAUAUAAACAACAGAUUCAUCAAAUACAAUAAAAGAUUAGUGUCCGAGUACAAUUCAUCAUAUUAGUCUCCGAAUUCAAAAGACCGAACAAAGAUAGAACAUUACAAGUCUCGAGACCGCGAGUUUGUCAGAAGUAAUACUAAUCAUAACAAGUCCUACUAAUCAUCAUCAUACAACUUCUACUCGUUAUUAAUAACAAGUCAUACGAUCGUCAUCUUGAUAGUCAUCGAACCAACCCUACUUAAUUGUUCUUAGUACAUGAUCAUCAGUAUUAGGCAUGACCUAAAUACCCUAUUUAAGCAAAAUUAGCAUAAAACAAUAUAGACCCUGACUCUCCAUUAUGAAGAAUGGAGAUCAUCCUGUCUCCAAUUCUUGCGCUUCGCUUCCUUUUGCAUCCAAGAACCUCCUUAUGACUGUCCAUACAUUUUUUCCAUCCUUUGAUUUGCAUGUCUCCACUUGCUUUAGAAAUCUGGUAUGGACAGUUGAGAUUCGUAGGAUGACCUGGUUGUAUGUUCAAAACAUUAAGGCUACAUUUCUGAUACAUCAAAUGAGGCACACAAUUCUCUGGGAUUAUCUGUUGAAAAACAUAGUAAUAACUUUAUAAUUAGCAAUGAUGUACUAGUUUUACAAGUAUGCAAAAGAUGCACGGAUCUCGUAAUAGUAAAAAUCUUACCAGGGUAUCUCCAUGGUAGUUACCGUAGUUGAACACAUGCACUAGUGGCACGUAUUGACCAUAAUGUUGAGGAGUUUGAUUGUAGAUAUUGUAAUUCUCAAUGUCAGUACAAAAUCCGACCAGAUGAUUUUUCUCCUUGUAAGUUGUUAAUUCGGAGCCAUCGGUGUAGUGGGUUUUGUCUAUCAUCUCCCGCACAUUCUUUGAACAAUAAAAAUAAGUUGUCAAUGAAAAUAAGCUGUCAACUAUUUUGAAAUAAACAAUAUAAAUUAGCUAAUAACUAUGUUUGAGAAACUCACAUAGCGGUAGAAUUGGAGGCGUAUCAACAAGGACCCAAAUGUCCAUAUUGUCUUGCUCGAUUUUAGGAUCACCAAGGUCCAUGGUGACAAGCAUACCCUCAUCAAAACCAUACAUCUUGCAAAAUUCUUCCCAAUUUUUGCAACCAAAAUGGGUUACGCUCCCAGAAUUAUACAGAUUUACUUCAAAAUCCACAUCGUGAUGAGUCCUUAGGUGAAUUUUCUUUGUUUCAGAAAUUUCAUGGUCUUCAAAAUCCAUCCUCUCCAAGACAUAGCGGCUUGCAUGGCAUGGGAUAAGCUAUACUCAAAUUGUAAAAGAUGAAAAUUACACGUUGAAAUAGUUGAAGUCAUGCUUAAUUAUGAAAAUAACACUUGUCGUCGUUGUGUACCAUUUCAACUUCGAAGGUCUCCUCGAGCUUAAUGCUGAAGCGCCGAUCAUCGUCCAGGUGAGGCAUGCCGCACAGACCUCGAUCGUCAUGGCACCAGCCGCACUCCCCCGGGAGACUUUCAUCGUCCGAUGACGACAUAUCCUACGUUCAGAAUUCAAAACUACAUCAUCUCUUGCGUUGGGUCCAAUAGGAUAAUCCACAGUGUGGUGAAAACACGCCCUUCGAACUGGUUUGAGCUAUUGGUGAAUGGAGAUGGUCUAAGAUUUUCAGUAGUAAGAAGUGAAGUGGUAAUUUUGACAGCAAAUGGUUAGGAUGAGUGGUUCCUCUUUCCUGUUUAGCUUUACAAUAGAAUAUUGUUAGUCAUGCACACUUGUGCAUUUUCAGCCAGGCCCAGUGGAGUUGGCCUAAAAACAUUUCUUUCUUUAAGCCUGCUACAUCCAUCUCAAGUAUUAUGGUCAAGGGUUAGCAGGGCCAUACAAAUACAAUAUGUGGUAUGGGCUUUUUUAGUAGGCCAUCCUACCAGAUUAGGGUUUAUCGAUGACGAGCAACUGACAUUAGUAAAAACUAUGAGUUGAUAUCACACUUAUAUAUGUAUAACACAAGAGGCAGUUGAUCCUACUUAAUUAAGUACUAAGAUACCCCGGCCCAUGCAUUAGUCGCAAGUACCCCAUAUGUCCUAUUUUUAGCAAAGCCAUGCUAAAAUUCACGGAAAAUUUCAGCAUGACCUUUGCUGAAAAUAUGACAUAUGGAGUACCCGAAUUUACCGGAACGAAAGUUAAUCGACAUUCCAGCAAACUCAAGGGCCUCUCGGGGUACCUGCAAAAUCAUUAUCCCCGCGUAAUGAAGUCGCCAAUGGGUCAUUUCAGAAGAUCACAAGUAGCAUCAUCACAAGUACAACAUCAUCACAAGUACAGCAGCAGCAGAAGUGAAUACAUGCAUAACAACAACAGCAGGUUUAUUCUUCUUCUUCAUAAACAUUCACUACUAGGAAAAGGCCUACUAAUGGCGCACCAGUUUUGCCUACUAAUGGCGCAUCACUGGUGCGCCAUUAGUAUCACGCCACUAGUAUUUAUUACUAAUGGCGCACCACUGAUGCACCAUUAGUAUAUAACACCAUGCGCCAUUAGUAUGCCUCCCAGGGCCAUAUUUAACCAUGUGCUUUGGCACACUAAUGGCGCACUGCGGAUGGUUGUGCUAUUAGUAUACUUGGCAUACUAAUGGCGCACUCUGUAGUGAUGCGCCAUUAAUAUAAUAUUAGGUUUUUUUUUACUUUUCUAAUUUUUGCACAGGUUACAAAAUAUAUUAUUUGACAGAAUAUAGACAGUAGCACACAGCAACAGCAGAUUCAUCGAAUACAAUAGAAGAUUAGUCUCCGAAUACAAUUCAUCAUAUUAGUCUCUGAAUUCAAAAGACCGAACAAAGAUAAAACAUUACAAGUCUCGAGAACGCGAGUAUCGAGUUUGUCGGAAGUAAUACUAAUCCUAACAAGUCCUACUAAUCAUCAUCAUACAACUUCUACUCGUUAUUCAUAACAAUUCAUACGAUCAUCAUCUUGAUAGUCAUCGAACCGACCCUACUUAAUUGUUCUUAGCACAUGAUCAUCAAUAUUAGGCAGGACCUAAAUACCCUAUUUAAGCUAAAAUAGCAUAAAACAAUAUAGACCCUGACUCUCCAUUAUGGAGAAUGGAGAACAUCCUGUCUCCAAUUCUUGCGCUUCGCUUCCUUUUUCUUCCAAGAAGCUCCUUACGACUGUCCAUACAUUUUUUCCAUCCUUUGAUUUUCAUGUCUCCACUUCUUUUAGAAAUCUCGUAUGGACAGUUGAGAUUUGUAGGACGACCUGGCUGUAUGUUCAAAACAUUAACACUACCUUUCUGAUACAUCAUAUGAGGCACACAAUUCUCUAGGAUUAUCUGUUGAAAAACAUAGUAAUAACUUCAUAGUUAGCAAUGAUGUACUAGUUUUAGAAGUAUGCAAAAGAUGCACGGAUGUCGUAAUAGUAAAAAUCUUACCAGGGUAUCUCCAUGGUAGUUACCGUAGUUGAACACAUGCACUAGUGGCACGUAUUUACCAUAAUGUUGAGGAGUUUGUUUGUGGAUAAUGUAAUUCUCAAUGUCAGUACAAAAUCCGACCAGAUGAUUUUUCUCCUUGUAAGUUGUUAAUUCGGAGCCAUCGGUGUAGUGGGUUUUGUCUACCAUCUCCCGCACAUUCUUUGAACAAUAAAAAUAAGCUGUCAAUGGAAAUAAGCUGUCAACUAUUUUGAAAUAAACAAUAUAAAUUAGCUAAUAACUAUGUUUGAGAAACUCACAUAGCGGUAGAACUGGAGGUGUAUCAACAAGGACCCAAAUGUCCAUAUUGUCUUGGUUGAUGUCAGGAUUACCAAGAUCCAUGGUGAUAAGCAUACCCUCAUCAAAAUCAUACAUCUUGCAAAAUGCUUCCCAAUUUUUGCAACCAAAAUGGGUUACGCUCUUAGAAUUAUAUAGAUUUACUUCAAAGUCCACAUCGUGAUGAGUCCUUAGGUGAAUUUUCUUUAUUUCAGAAAUUUCAUGAUCUUCAAAAUCCAUCCUCUCCAAGACAUAGCGUCUUGCAUGGCAUGGGAUAAGCUAUACUCGAAUUGUAAAAGAUGAAAAUUACACGUUGAAAUAGUUGAAGUCAUGCUUAAUUAUGAAAAUAACACUUGUCGUCGUUGUGUACCAUUUCAACUUCGAAGGUCUCCUCGAGCUUAAUGCUGAAGCGCCGAUCAUCGUCCAGGUGAGGCAUGUCGCACAGACCUCAAUCGUCGUGUCACCAGUCGCACUCCGCCAGGAGACUUUCGUCAUCCGAUGAUGAUGACGACAUAUCCUAUGUUCAUAAUUCAAAACUACAUCAUUUAGGGUUUGUCGACACCGAGGCAUCCUAAAAGCUAAGCUUUUAUCAUUUAGGGUUUGUCGAUGCUGAGACACCCUAAAAGCCUAAGCUUUCAUCAUUUAGGUUCUUAUCGACACCGAGGCACCCUAAAAGCCAAGGUUUUAUCAUUUAGGUUUGUCGACGUCGAGGCACCCUAAAAGCCUAAGCUUUCAUCAUUUAGGUUUUGUCGACGCCGAGUCACCCUAAAAGCCUAAGCGUACAUCAUUUAGGUUCUCAUCGACACCGAGGCACCCUAUAGAAGCCAAGUUAAGUUUUCAUCAUUUAGGGUUUAUCGAUGCCGAGGCACCCUAGGUUGGGCCUAAUCACUUGGCACUAAUCACUUGGCUCUAUUGCCACCUAUGUUUGGUUUAUCAUCUAGGGUUUAUCGAUGCUAAGGAGAAUUCUAAGUUGGGCCUAAUCACUUGGCUCUAUUGCCACCUAUGGUUUAAUGCAGCAAGAAUGGCGGGGCAGUUGAUCCUACUUAACUAAGUACUACGAUACCCCGGCCCAUGCAUUAGUCGCAAGUACCCCAUAUGUCCUAUUUUUAGCAAAGUCAUGCUAAAAUUCACGAAAAAUUUCAGCAUGCCCUUUGCUGAAAAUAGGACAUAUGGAGUACCCGAAUUUGCCGGAACGGAAGUUAAUCAACAUUCCGGCAGACUCAAGGGCCUCUCGGGGUACCUGCAAAUUCAUCAUGACACAUUUCUGUUUGAUUUUCAAACCACACACUUACUUUCAACUAUAAACAAAACUGACUUGCUGUUAAUGAAACUCAUGGCGGAAGUAACUACUAGCAGCAUGUCAUUAUCAUGGCAGUACACUAUAUAUUUUUAUGACAAAAUACAUCAUUAUCAGGGCACAUUAUGGCCAUUUUCUUACAUGAUGCUAAUUGUACCUAACUAGUUUUUUUGACAGUAGCUCAAGUUUUUGACAGUAGCUCCUAACUGUACCUAACUGAAUUUUUUGACAGUAGCUCAAGUUUUUGACAGUAGCUCCUAACAGUAGCUCCUAACUGAAUUUGCGUAAGUGGAAGGCUAACAUUAAAGGGAAGGCUGACUUAAGUGGCAAGAUGAUACAAUUUGCGUAACAUAACAAUAUAUGCAUCUUAAUAUAACACCAUCUCCUAACAGAAAUAGUAUCCAAAUCUACUAGGGGGGAAAGUAGAACUGAUAUUCUUUGCUGACCUCUAGUACAAGGUAUAGAAGAGGAGGUAAGAGAAGAAAUAGUGACAUUUCUCUUAGCAGGAGACUUUUUCUCUCUUCUAGAAACAACAGUAAAUUUCUCCUCCUCUUCCACUACAGUAGCCAACUUAGACACAGGGAGGCGACAUUUCCAUUCGAGUCAUGAAUAUCUAAACAGUGUUUAGUUUUCUUACUAAUUUGUUCCCUGGAUAAUUCCAAUUCCUUGAGAACAUGAAUAAAAUCAAAAUUAUCCAGAGGUAUAUCAACACCCAUCAUUGAUGCUCUAAACAUAAUCUCCUUAGCUACUUAAUUCCCCAACCCUAGCUACUUAAUUCUCCAACCCCUUUUCUUGUCCAAAAUUCUCCAACCCCUAACCCUAGAACACAUCAGAAGGAGAUCAAGAGGGGGAAGAGGGGGAAGCGGCUCGGGUGCUCAAUGGGGAGGUCGAGGGCGACUCGGGGUAGCCGGAGCUAGUCGAGGUGGCGCGAAUUCAGCGUCGAGCGGUGGCGAUGGUGGCCGAGGCGAAGGAAAUCGGCGGGCGUCCGAGGGCGUCCGAGGAGGCACGGGGGCGGCGGCGGCGUGGGGGCGGCGACGGAGACGGAGGCGCGGGGGCGGCGGCGGCGUGGGGGCNNNNNNNNNNNNNNNNNNNNNNNNNNNNNNNNNNNNNNNNNNNNNNNNNNNNNNNNNNNNNNNNNNNNNNNNNNNNNNNNNNNNNNNNNNNNNNNNNNNNNNNNNNNNNNNNNNNNNNNNNNNNNNNNNNNNNNNNNNNNNNNNNNNNNNNNNNNNNNNNNNNNNNNNNNNNNNNNNNNNNNNNNNNNNNNNNNNNNNNNNNNNNNNNNNNNNNNNNNNNNNNNNNNNNNNNNNNNNNNNNNNNNNNNNNNNNNNNNNNNNNNNNNNNNNNNNNNNNNNNNNNNNNNNNNNNNNNNNNNNNNNNNNNNNNNNNNNNNNNNNNNNNNNNNNNNNNNNNNNNNNNNNNNNNNNNNNNNNNNNNNNNNNNNNNNNNNNNNNNNNNNNNNNNNNNNNNNNNNNNNNNNNNNNNNNNNNNNNNNNNNNNNNNNNNNNNNNNNNNNNNNNNNNNNNNNNNNNNNNNNNNNNNNNNNNNNNNNNNNNNNNNNNNNNNNNNNNNNNNNNNNNNNNNNNNNNNNNNNNNNNNNNNNNNNNNNNNNNNNNNNNNNNNNNNNNNNGAGGCGCGGGGGCGGCGGCGGCGUGGGUCGGGGCAGCGGGGGGAAUUAGCUAGGGGGCGAGGGAGAGGGGGGAAUGGGAUCUGGCGAGAGGGAGGGAAUUAGCUAGGGGGGAUCUUACUAAUGGCGCACCCGCAGUCGGUGGGUCAUUAGUAAUCUUUUUUUACAUAGCAAUGGCGCACUAGGCAAAGGUGCGCCAUUAGUAAUCUUUUUUUACAUAGCAAUGGCGCACCAGGCAGAGGUGCGCCAUUAGUAAUCUUUUUAUAUAUAUAUAGCAAUGGCGCACCAGCCAGAGGUGCGCCAUAAGUAAUUUUUUUUGUUGCAUGUAAUAAUUUUUUAGAAAAUGAAUAUGAAUAUGAAACAGUAAUAUUUUUUUUAUAAAAACAGUAAUAAUUGUUGUUUAACAACAUAGUCUACACUUUUUUAUUAUUAUUUUUUUAAAAAUGAAGAGGGGAGAGGAGGCGAAGCUCACCGGGGAGCGGGGGAGGGUGCGGGGGGUGCGGAUGUAACUUUUCGAGUAGAUGAUUUUUCAUAUAAAAAACUUUUUCAUCCGAGUUCGUACGCAAAAGUUAUGCCCAUUUUACAAAUUCUCGAGAGAUUUCGCAAAUAAAGUCGAAGUUCAUAUUUGUAAAUUUUCACAACAACUAGACCACAUAUCACAUGGGAAACUUAUUUUCUUUUAUUUUUUUGACAUUUCCAUCAUUUUUGUUUAUUUUUUUAAAACUGAAAAGACGGUCCAGGGGGGUGCAUUCUGUGGAAGUGGUGGCCAAGUUAUUAAUGGCGCAUCGUGGGAGUGCUGCGUCAUUACUAGUUCAACUAGUAAUGGCGCACCACUCCAACGGUGCGCCAUUAGUAGUUUUGAAAAAAAUAAAAAAANNNNNNNNNNNNNNNNNNNNNNNNNNNNNNNNNNNNNNNNNNNNNNNNNNNNNNNNNNNNNNNNNNNNNNNNNNNNNNNNNNNNNNNNNNNNNNNNNNNNNNNNNNNNNNNNNNNNNNNNNNNNNNNNNNNNNNNNNNNNNNNNNNNNNNNNNNNNNNNNNNNNNNNNNNNNNNNNNNNNNNNNNNNNNNNNNNNNNNNNNNNNNNNNNNNNNNNNNNNNNNNNNNNNNNNNNNNNNNNNNNNNNNNNNNNNNNNNNNNNNNNNNNNNNNNNNNNNNNNNNNNNNNNNNNNNNNNNNNNNNNNNNNNNNNNNNNNNNNNNNNNNNNNNNNNNNNNNNNNNNNNNNNNNNNNNNNNNNNNNNNNNNNNNNNNNNNNNNNNNNNNNNNNNNNNNNNNNNNNNNNNNNNNNNNNNNNNNNNNNNNNNNNNNNNNNNNNNNNNNNNNNNNNNNNNNNNNNNNNNNNNNNNNNNNNNNNNNNNNNNUUAGUAGUUUUGAAAAAAAAUUAAAAAAUGUUUUUUACUAAUGGCGCACCGUGGAUGUGGUGCGCCAUUAGUAUUUGGACACUAAUGGCGCACCAACACAUGGUGCGCCAUUAGUAUAUAGUAAUGGCGCAUCACAUGUCUGGUGCGUCAUUAGUGUCAAUUCCAUCUAUAGCCCUUUUCCUAGUAGUGAUUAAUUGGUGUGGGUGACUCUAUCUGCCCUCUAAUGACUCACUCAACUUAACAGGACAACCCACAAGCAUUGUUUUGAUUCCAACAGCUGCUGUAAAAUACAUCCAGCAAAGGUGCUCUAAAAUCAGAAAUACUACUCCCAAAUCUUUAGCUCAAUUCUGAAAAUACAUGGCUAGGACAACGGUAGCAUUCAACCACAAGCCCAAGCCUAUACUUAACUAGGCCCAGGUCCAUUAAAUUCUUACAGAAACCAAGAAAUGGAAUCAACUCCCCUUGUUGCUGAUUCAGUCAUGGGAGAUGCCAUGUCUCAAAAAUAUCAAGUAGCACCAUCAUGUUCGAUUUCAAUAUAAGGAAUAUUACAAAAUUAACAAUUAAGAUCCCAAGUGAGUAACACACUUUGGUCUUCUAGUUACAAAACAAACUGACAUAAUUCUAGAUGCCAUAAUCAGAUCAAAAUUUCAAACCACACACUUACUUUCAAAUAUCAAAUUAGGAACAUUUUGAGACAUAGGAAAACAGUGUACAUCUGAAAAGGCUGCAAACUAUGAAGAAAAACAAGAACACUAUGUAAUACAUGAUUAUUCAGUUAAGACAAGAGAAACCAUCUGCAACUACUACUGUAAAUAAUACACCUGUUAACACGUUUCUGAACAUACAUCCAGCAAAGAUGCUCUAAAAAAAUACUACGGCCCACGCCCACCCACCCCAUCCCAGCUACUAGUACCACUUUCAAGUAAUACACCUGUUAGUUCAAUUCUCAAAAUACAUGCAGCAAAGAUACACCUCUUCUAAUGACGUGAUACUUUGAACAAACCUUCAGGACUCCCAAAUGAGUUAAGAAAUGGCUAACAGUUUUCCUAGUCUAGCAGAGCCUGUCAUUGCAAAUUCAGUUAAGUGUUUGCUUGCUUUAGUUUGACAGAAAUGUUUCAGAUAAGUGUUCAGCUAACUUCAGACUUAAGAAUAACGAUGAAAAUUUCAGACUUGGCAGUACAGAUUCAGAUUUGGCAGUACAAAUUCGAAACAGGGAGUUGGAAGAGAGAGGAUGGCUCACCGUGGAGGAGUGGAGGACGAGGGUGCAUCGAUGGCGAGCUGAGGACGAGGGCAGGUAGGACGACGGCGAUGGCGGCAUAGCAGCGGGCCUCGUGCUCCUUCUUCAGAGGAGGGGAGAGGCGAUCAAGGACGAUAGCGAUGGCGACGUAGCAGCGGGCCCCGUGCUCUAUGUGGAGGCCAGGGGAGUCGAGUCAGUUAGGGGCAGGAGACCGAAGGCGAUGGACGGGCGGAGGAGGAGGGGGGCUUACGGGCGGAGGAGACCGGGAGGCGGCGCAGUGGGUGGGGCGGCGGCGCAGUGGGUCCGUCGUGGCGGCAGGCCGUCGGCGGCGAGGACCGAGACGGCGAGGCGGGGCGCGAGGGUCGUCGAAGCGGGUGUGGAGCGAGGGGGGAGUGGAUCUGGCGAGAGAGGGACGAAGGGAUCGGGCGAAUUAGCUAGGGGGAAGAUUACUAAUGGCGCACCCCUGGCGGUGCGCCAUUAGUAUGUUUUUUAUAGCAAUGGCGCACCCUCGAGCGGUGUGCCAUAAGUAAUCUUUUUUUACAUAGCAAUGGCGCACCAGCCAGCGGUGCGCCAUAAGUAAUUUUUUAAUUAUUUUUUGUUGCAUCUAAUAAUUUUUUAGAAAAUGAAUAUGAAUAUGAAACAGUAAUAAUUUUUUAUAAAAACAGCAAUAAUUUUUUUAAAAAUAUCAUCAAAUUAUUUGAAAAUAUUUAUGAGUAUAAAAAAUAUCAUCAAAUNNNNNNNNNNNNNNNNNNNNNNNNNNNNNNNNNNNNNNNNNNNNNNNNNNNNNNNNNNNNNNNNNNNNNNNNNNNNNNNNNNNNNNNNNNNNNNNNNNNNNNNNNNNNNNNNNNNNNNNNNNNNNNNNNNNNNNNNNNNNNNNNNNNNNNNNNNNNNNNNNNNNNNNNNNNNNNNNNNNNNNNNNNNNNNNNNNNNNNNNNNNNNNNNNNNNNNNNNNNNNNNNNNNNNNNNNNNNNNNNNNNNNNNNNNNNNNNNNNNNNNNNNNNNNNNNNNNNNNNNNNNNNNNNNNNNNNNNNNNNNNNNNNNNNNNNNNNNNNNNNNNNNNNNNNNNNNNNNNNNNNNNNNNNNNNNNNNNNNNNNNNNNNNNNNNNNNNNNNNNNNNNNNNNNNNNNNNNNNNNNNNNNNNNNNNNNNNNNNNNNNNNNNNNNNNNNNNNNNNNNNNNNNNNNNNNNNNNNNNNNNNNNNNNNNNNNNNNNNNNNNNNNNNNNNNNNNNNNNNNNNNNNNNNNNNNNNNNNNNNNNNNNNNNNNNNNNNNNNNNNNNNNNNNNNNNNNNNNNNNNNNNNNNNNNNNNNNNNNNNNNNNNNNNNNNNNNNNNNNNNNNNNNNNNNNNNNNNNNNNNNNNNNNNNNNNNNNNNNNNNNNNNNNNNNNNNNNNNNNNNNNNNNNNNNNNNNNNNNNNNNNNNNNNNNNNNNNNNNNNNNNNNNNNNNNNUGGAGCAGGGGAGGAUGCGGUAGGUCGUCGGCGGCGGUGGAGCAGGGGAGGGUGCGGGGGGGUCGGCAGCGGCGGUGGAGCGGGGGAGGGUGCGGGGGGUGCUCGGCGGCGGUGAGCGGGGGAGAGUAUAGGGUGCUUGUGGUGCGCCAUUAGUAGUUUCGCAAAAAAGAAAUUAUAUUAGUGGCGCAAUGUGUGGCAGGUGCGCCAUUAUUAGUUAAAACUAGUAAUGACGCACUGUGCCCUGGUACGCUAUUAGUAUUUUUGAAAAAAAAAUGUUACUAACGGCGCAUCGAGGGUCUGAUGCGUCAUUAGUGUCUAUCACGCUAAUGGCACACUAAUACAUGAUACGCCACUGCUAUAUAGUAGUGACGUAUCACAUGUUUGAUGCGUCAUUAGUGGUCUUAUCAUUUAUAGCUCUUUUUCUAGUGGCGAUAGUUUUUAUAAAAUAGCGUGUGCAAAAGGUCCAGUAUUUGCAGCCCAUUUAAGCUCGACAUGCGUUACCUACUUCUAAAAUUGUUAUCCUUAGCAAAUACAAGAUCAUGAUGUGUGGAGUGGCUGUACUUGCUAAAGGGAAUUUACAGGGCGCGUGUUCGAGACUUGAAGUUCCCUUUUUGGCGUUAAUUUUCAACGCCGUACAGUGGUUAGUUUUCCUACAAAUAAAAAAUACAAGUAGGUUUAGCGCAAAAAUGUGUUGCUAGGGGCAACUUUUUCUGCAAAUAAAAAAAAUACAAUGAAGUUUUGUGCAAAAAUGCAUUGGCCGAGCAUCAUAAGUCACUAACAGAUGGGCCCAUAUGUACAAAUACGCCAGCAAAGUUCUAAUAUCAUAUUGAACAUUGAGCACAAGUUCUAUGACUACUGAUGAUAUUACCUCUUCUCAAUGCUCCAUGAUACUCAAUAGCUUUAGAAAACAAGAAAAACAAGAAAAAGCUUUAGAAAUUUCCAUGUGCUUUCAUUUUUUGUUUCUUGCAUGUGACUCUUUAUUAGACAUGUCCAAUGCUCCAUGAUACUCAAUAGCUACACACACCUGAACAUCCAUGCACAUCGAUAAUUAAGAAAAUAAUUACUAUUCAUUAAUUGCCUGAACAAGUAGGUCAUACACAUGACACGUACACAUCGGCUAGAGUACAGCAAGGAGUUGACGGUUCACUCACGCAUACGAACGCGUGCAUGCAUGUCGCGUAAAAAUAUACUGUAUGCACACAGUGUGUGUGCAACGUGCAGACAAAGACAUAGUACUGAAAUACACAUGCAGCAGAGCUUCGUGCCGUACGCAGGCAGCUUUUAUUUUAUUUUUAGUAGCUCAAUAUCGUAUGAGCACUCCAUCAACGUAGACAUUAAGCUCCACACAAGCGCGUCCUUGCAUGCACGUCGGAAGGAUUAUAUAUUGAACUAGUUGAC